rnacentral:lncRNA from 1 species
AUAACCCCUUAACCCCCAAUUUAUACCCAAACACCACUUUUAAGGGGUGGGGUUUACUAACCCCACCCCAAACCGGGUUAGUGGGGUUUACUAACCGCACUCCCCCUCCCAACUUUAACCCCGCAAGCAUCCCGAGCCCUCACCUUUUUCUUCUUUAUCAAUCAUUAACCCUACUCCCCCUCCCAACUUUAACCCCGCACGCAUCCCGAGCCCUCACCUUUUUCUUCUUUAUCAAUCAUUAACCCCAUUCCCCCUCCCAACUUUAACCCCGCACGCAUCCCGAGCCCUCACCUUUUUCUUCUUUAUCAAUCAUUAUCUUCUUAUCCCACCUACUCCAACCAAACACUUUUUUUCACUAUUCUAGACUAACUCCAACCUCCAACCAAACACAAAAAAAUUUUAACACCAUUUUAACCCUGAACUUAACCCUAUCCCUGGAAUAGCUACUUUUUCUUAACCCCGAACCAAACGGUGGCUAAAAGAUUCAAAGGCAUCGAGACAAGGACCAUCUAAAAAGGCUAGCAAAUAAAUAACCUGAUCCGUUUUUAGUUCCUAAAUACGUUGACUAUUCCGUUUGUAAAUUUUCGCAGCAGUCUAAUUUCAACAAUUGGUAUCAUAGCUGUUUUAUUUAUUUUCACCUCAUGAUCAUGCCAGUAAUGCUUGUUUUGUAUGCAUGCUUUAUUGAUCAAUUUUUUUAUAUAAAUUUAUUUUAUAAUUUUUUUAUUUGUUUUAUAUAUAUAAUUAUUUUUUAAAAAAACAAAUCAGUUUUAGUUUUCUUUUAAGUAGAUCAUAAGACAUUUGAAAUUAGUUAUAUUUUUUCUCUCUACUUCGUGCAUUAAAAAAAAAAGGUGCAAUUGCUCAUUUACCCCUAAAAAGUUUUCAGCUUUUUAAUUUAUUUUUCUUAGAAAGCUAAUAAUGAAAAUACCUUUUUUACAUUUCAACAUAUUUCAAAUAUACCCCUAGAAUUAAAUUCUGUUAAUAAACAAUUUAUCUUUCUACCAACUUUUUUUAUUUGCCCUUAAGUUAGGGACACAAAAUGUAUUUUAAUUUUUUAUCUUUUCAAAUAUACAUUUCUACCAUCACCAAUAUUUCUUAUUUGCCUUUAGAUUAAGGGCGAAAGAUAUUUUGAUUUUUUUUUAACUCUAGUAGAUAUUUAACUCAUAUUUAACCAAAAUUAAUUUAACGAGUGAUAACUGUAGAAAUAUUUUGAAAUAACGGAAAAACGUAUGAGAGAUAUAUUUGAAAGAAAAAAAAAGAUAAAUGAGAUAUUUUUGAAAAUUUUCAGAGAUAUAUAAGCAAUUAUCUUAAAAAAAUUAUACCUGUUAUAUUUUUAGAGAGAGAGAGAGAGAGAGAGAGACCGGGGCUCAACCGCGUGGCCCGGCCCCGCCUGAUGCGGUGUGGGACUAUUACGGCGUUACAUUUUUAAAUAAAAAAAAAUCAAAUAAAAUUUUAUUGAUGGAAAUAAUCUAAGUUUUAACUGAAUACUGCUCAUAUUAAAGUCAAAGAAAGCUCAAGUGGCAGCAAAGCCCCACCAUAAAACGCUUCUGUGGAUCUCCCCCGCACGAAAAUGGGAUUCUUUUACGUCUCCUUCUCUCUACCAUAUAAAUAAAUAAACAUUCACCGUAUUCAUCAGUAUUUACAUAUAUAUACAUAUACUCUCCUCCUCUACCUCAACUCUCUCUCUCUCUCUCUCUCUCUCUUACUCCAUUAAUGGCGAUAGCCUCUCCCCCUCUCCAUCUCCACCUCGUUCCCCCUAAGCCCGCCUCCGCGUUUCCCUUGUGGACAUCACGGAUCCGCUGCUUAUGGGGUUCCCGUGCGCCCCGUGUUGGGCCGAGGACGCGGAGAAGAAGAUGCGGAGUCCGAGUAUCGUCAGUGAGCCGCUCUUCGCCCGUGGGGUUCCGCGAUCUCGACGCCGAUGAUUUUAGGCACCCGCUCGAUAAGCAAGUAAUUCCCAGUACUCGGCUCUCUUUGAUUUGGCUUUUGAUUCGGAGGAUUUGUCCACGCCUAUGAUAUGACCUGUUUGUUGAAUUGCUUCAAAGAGAAAAAAGGAGGCUUUUUUAAGGGAAAAAAAUGGUGUGGUGAUACUGUUGUGUUUGUUGAUCAGAACACGUCGCUCUUGCGGGCGAUCCCCGGGCUUGAUGAAAUUGUCAAGGCUUUAUUAGGUAAUUGGUGCUUCAUGUUUUCUUUAAUUUGUGUGUGUGUGUGUGUGUUUGGGUCCCUUAUUCGAUAUCAACGACAUACAAAUAUGGUUUCAGAAAUGAAUAAGGUUAUAAAAUUACUCGGUACUUAAUUUGUAUUAUAUGUAUGAUCUGAUCUGAGCACUUUACAGUUUGCCCUACAAAUUAAAAGGUGAAAAUAAUGCUGAUCUUGGUGUAUAAUCAAGAUUUAGGGUUAGGAUCAGAGUUGAUCUCAUUUCUCCUCUCUAGUUACAAUUUAUAGGGGACUUGUUAUACGUUCAUAUAGUUCAAUAGUGCAUCAAACUAUGGUUAAGAAUCAGAUUUAGAUAAGAGAACGGGAAGAGUGGUUUAAUUGCAUCUAUAUUGCCUUUUCUAAACAAAUAAAGCAAAGACAAGCACUUAUAAAGAGGUUAAAUGCAGAAAGAAGCAAAAUUGAACAAAAUAAAGAAACUUCACAACUUUGACCGAGGAGAUUCUAUGCUUUACUAGUUUAACUUUUAACUUUAUAUUAUUAAAAGUUAAAAUCUUGUACAUCGAAAGUUUAUGGUGAUUGAACUCUUCAGAAGCUAAUUACUUUUAGUUCUUUCUCCUGUUUCUCUUCCAAAAGUAGGCUAUGCAUGCUCCUCUAAUAUUUUCAUGUUGAAUCACUUAAGCAGGGCCAGUUGCAGAGCAAGUUAUGCUACUUCAGAAUAUAGGGACAUCAGUACUUGUUUCUGAAAAUCAGGUCGGUUUCAUUAUUCUUUUUCCACGUAUUAUUUCCUAGAAAAUGGCAAAAAUUGUCACUCUGAUCGAAUGGCUACAUAGUCAUCAUAGUGUAUGCAUAUACUUCUUUGAUUAUCAUGUGGAAAUGGGUUGAACUGCAAAGGACUGCAUUUUCGAUAUUAUGUGCUGAGCGUGAACUGAUGAAUUUACGCUCUGUCAAAUGAAACUCUUGUUUCCCGUAACUCAUGCAGCUUUAAUGUGGUUACAGCUACCUGAUCUUCAUAAAUUAUUGGUCGAAGCUGCGAAGCGACUAAACACAGAAGCCCCUGAUUUAUAUGUCCGUCAGAACCCUGUUCCGAAUGCUUAUACUUUGGCAAUCAGUGGUAGAAAGCCAUUCAUCGUAGUGCAUACGAGUCUUGUGGAGCUUCUUACAAGAAGAGAACUACAGGUACCUUUCUUCCCAUUUUGCUGCAUAAUUUCCACAGAAUUUGUGAUAUUUUAGGGAGGCAGGGGGGUGUUAUUUACAAAUUGGUCCCUGAAGUUUGACCCAGUUUUCAAUUUCGUACUCAUAGUCCUGAAGUUUGUUCUGCGUAACAAUUACAUUCCUUUUUUAGUCUACAAUCUAAAAAAAAGUGCCACAUCAAUGCCAUAGUCAAACUUUCUUAUGGUAAAAUUGAAACAUCGAGAAUGAAAUUGAAGCCAAGAUUAUGCUUUAGGGACGAAAUUGAAAUAGAGGUCAAACUUUAGGAUCAAAAUUGAAACAUUGAGGAAGAAAUUAAAAUCAUAGUCGAAUAUUAGGGACUAAAUUUUUAUGAUUACAACAAUGAGGAUGAAUUUGAAUCUCAUGUCAGACUGUAGUGUCUAUAAUCGUAGUUAAGCCUUUUUCAUAAAUCAUUGGGAGGGGAAGCGACUUACGAUUGUCUCGCACCAUAUCAGAUAUAGUAUGAACUUCAAGAUUGGCUAAAGAGCAUGUUAAAUGUUAUACCAAUUACAGUUUAUGAAAAAUAAUUAAAUGUUAUGUAAGUGAAGAAAUACGUUACAACAAGCAUUUGCCUCCAAGUGCUUUUGUAGUGAAUGUGGGUAGUUUUUGAUGAAGCAGCUGAUUUGCUUCUUUAAGCAGCUAUACUCAAACUGAAAUUUUGCAGAAGCUCCACCAGACCAAAGAGGACCUCAUUGUUUCAGUAACAGAUGGGUUAACAUCAAUCAUUAAACAUGAACUCAAAAGUGUUUCAUAGUUCAGUUGUUAUGAUUCUUUUUUCCCAGUCUUUGUUGCUACCCUAUUGAUUUUGGAUGACAAUGUUUUAAGAAACUUCUGUUGAAUAUUUGUAGGGUUUCUGGACUCUAUAGAAGUCCUUCCAUAUAGCUUUUGGCAUUAUCGUUGGAUUUACCACUAAGCUACCAUGCAUUCUUAUACUCAUAAUUGAAUAAUAAUCAUACCAGCAUUACAUGUGGAAAUUAAACAAAAGCAUACUGAAAUUUCACGGCAAUUUGCUUAGACCUGAAAUUUCUGAAGUUGUCAACAUAAGCAAGAAAUCCCCACUUCAGAUGUGGUAAAUAUAUCAUAACAGCCAGACAUUUUACUUGGAUCCAGUGAGUUACUUAAAAUUUUGUAAUGUUUUAUCUUUUCACUAGGCUGUUUUGGCUCAUGAAUUGGGCCACUUGAAGUGCGACCAUGGCGUGUGGCUCACUCUUGCAAAUAUAUUAACACUGGGAGCUUCUAGUAUACCUGGUAUGUUUUUUUUAUUACUUACAUAUAGGAUAAUUUAUAGUCCCUGAAGUUUGAUCUAGAUAUCAGUUUCAUCCUUAAGUAUAUAAUUUAGUAAUUCAGUCCCUCAAGUUUGAACUUGAUUUCAGUUUCAUCCUCUGGAGUUCCAAGUUAUUUAACAAAACAAAGUCUUAAUACGGUGCUGAUGUGACACCCUUUUUUAGAUGAUAAUUGGGAAAAGCGAACUUAAUGGUUAUUCUAAACAAACUUCGUCUACUAAAUUAUUAUAAUAGGAAACUAUGAGGAAAUUUGGAACAAAGGUCAAACUUCAGGCACUAAAUUUAUAGUCAACCCUUAUGUAUAUGCGUGUGCAUGCGCAGGAACUAUUGCCUGGAUCUUCUCCAUCACGUCACCCAUGGAAUGGCCGGUCAUCUACCCUCUAUUCCAUCUCUUCUUGAAAUCAGUAUCAUCCUGUGGACUUCAGUCUCUCCAUUUAAAAAUUAUUGUCUUUUAAAGAUGAGGACCGAAAGGCGUAAUGGAUUGGAGGGUAGAUUGUUCGGCGGUCAAUGGCUGACUCAGUGGACCAAGCCAGGACAAUAAAUUUCUUUAGCGUGUGAGAGAGAGAUGGUUUACGAUUCUACAAACAAUCCAAUACAAGUGUUAAUAAGUAGACUAUUUUCAGGGCUUGGUAUUCUUGCUCGGUUCUUGGAAGAGCAGCUAUAUAGGUGGCUUCGUGCUGCAGAGCUGACUUGUGAUCGAGCGGCUCUUCUUGUGGUCCAAGACCCCAAGGUACAUUUUGAUCCAGAAUCAGUAGGGUGGCUCUAUGCAGUCUUUAAAUGCUUACUUUGUAAAUUAAUGUUUCAUCAUAAGAAAGACUCAUAUGCACGGUCGUAAGAAAGACUUAUAUGCAGUCUUGGCGAUGGUUUAGUUUUCUUUUGAUUCGACCCGCAUAUUUCUAUUUUCUGAUAAUCUUUAUUUCAUGAUCCCAUCAAGAGGUGGUCAUCUCUGUCCUGAUGAAACUAGUUGGAGGAUGUCCUUCUCUCUCCGACCAGCUCAACGUUGACGCUUUCUUGGAGCAAGCACGUUCCUAUGACAAGGCUGCUUCGAGCCCAGUUGGGUGGUACAUCAGGUUUAUUUCCUUCAACUACAUAAUAAACGGCACGAUUGUGCGACUCGAUUCACAGUUUUUAAUUUCAUACUUCUGAAAGCAUGAUUCGUUGUCCUAUAAUGGAGGGGGAGUUUGGCUUCUUGAAAAGUGAACUAAAGUGGCAAAAACAGAAAAUAAUAUCCUGUUUUUGCUAGUCCAGAACUGUUUUUUUUUUUUUAAGACAUAAAAUAAAAGUUUUUCCAUUGCCAUUUGAUGAGAACUCAUCGAGUAUAUCUUUGGAUAUGUUCAGGAAUGCUCAAACUAGGGAAUUAUCCCACCCUUUGCCAAUUCUCCGAGCUCGGGAGAUCGAUGAAUGGUCAAGGAGCCAGGAGUACAGAUCACUAUUACAAAGAGCAAUCCUACGAGAAGAUGCUCAGAAAUUUUAGUGACCUUCUGGUGAAGAAUUCGAUGUAAAAUGACACUACAAAAGGUAAUGUCGACUAUCAUGUCUCACGACUCCUCUGGAGUUGGUUAUGAACUUCUUUGGCGCAGCUUUAAAGAUGUAGUAUCGUUUGAUGAUGUGAUGUUUAAUAGAGAUAUUAGGAAAAGCACUAUUAAAUGCCCUUCAAUAGCUUGUCUCUAUAGAAGAAUUAGAAGCAUUAAAUCAAAACACUCACUUUUGGUGCACAAUCUUGUGGGAACUGUAUGUUGUAGUAGAAGCUAGAGAUUUUCUGUUUGCCAAUCAUUCUACUAAAGAUAGCUAUGGCUGAAAGUAGAAUUAGAAGCGAGGCCAAAAACUCCAUUAAGUGAGUGGUUGAUCUAACUUCUAGAACAAUUCUAUUUUGAAACGCCAAAGACUGGCACUUGGCAAAUAAAAAAUCUAGAAUUUUCAUGGUAGAGAGAAAAUAAAAUAAGCUUCCAGAUCACUAAAAGUAGAAGUUUUAAUUGAACUUCUCCUUAUGGAGUAUUUAGUAGAAAAAAACACACCAGUAAGUCUUCAUAUAGCUCUACGUAAACGGCACUUUUGUGAAAACUUCCACUGGGGAAACAUGCUAAAAGAUUAUGUUAUGUUAAGUUUUACAGAAUCUACUAUUGACUCUUUGAUGUUUUCAUACUGCUGUGUAGGUCGGCAGAUGAUUCAAAUGAUAGAAGAAUAAUACAGUAUUGUACAUUAUGAGGAGCAGGAAACUUAGUUUUAAGUUAUACACAUGUAUAUUCUCAAAAUACAGUUAUGUUCUCAAAAAGACACACAAAUGUGAGUAUAGAUAGAAAAGCAUUACUGAUUAUUGACAUACUAUAUUUGGCUUGAAUAUACAUGUGUAUAACUUAAAACUAAGUUNAUUCUCAAAAUACAGUUAUGUUCUCAAAAAGACACACAAAUGUGAGUAUAGAUAGAAAAGCAUUACUGAUUAUUGACAUACUAUAUUUGGCUUGAAUAAUAUUAAAUAGUACCAUGGUUCAUGUGCUUGCAUAUAUAUAUAUAUAUAUAUAUAUAUAUAUAUAUAGUUCGGCUACUAUACUCUUAUGAGUACGAUCACAUUCGUACUCAUAAGUCGCUUUCAAUGAUAGAGCUUCCGAAUCGACGAUCCAGACCGUUAAACAUUAUCUAGAGCAUUUAAAAUUUCUAGAAAUCAAGUUUUAUAAUUUUUCAAUAUCAUUUACCUUAUGAUCAAUAGCUCACAAAAUUGACAAUUUUUAACGGCCGGUAUGUGAUUCUUGCUAGUUUAACGGUGUAAAAGAAUCGGAAUAGCUUAAUUUUUUAAUAGAAAAUUCUAUUCAUUACCUAGUUAAAGAUCAAUAACCCCGAUUUUAAAUUGAAGGAUCCAAUCAUCUAUUUUUAGGACGUCAUUCGAUUUUGACUGUUCAUUUUAUAUCCGCUUGAUGGACUUUAUAAUAAUUUCGAAAAGUUACGAAAUUUAUUUUCUAAAAGUUUCAAAUACUCUAGAUCAUGUUUAACGGUGUGAAUCGUCGAUUCGGAAGCCCGAACAUCGAAAACAAUAUAUGAGUACGAAGGGCUCACUCAUAAGAGUAUAGUAGCCCUACUCUCUCUCUCUCUCUCUCUCUCUCUCUAUAUAUAUAUAUAUAUAACACCUUGGCUGUUAAAUUAUUAGGAAAAGAAGGUGCUUCUUUUGUCAGGGGUUAUAUAGAUGCCAAUUUUGGACAAAGAUUUGUAGCAUAAGCACUUGUGGCUCAAGCUCAAAAUGUGAACUCAAAGCAGAAAUGGAUGUAGAAAAUCAGCAAAUUGAGGUUCUAUCUAGGUCAGGUUCUUUAUUUGACCUAAUCUUGGAUCCCUGCAGUUCUAAUCAAGAAAUUCUAUAUGUUUGGACCUGGUGUAUUAUAUGCAUCCUAUUAAAGAAUCCUAUGCAUUAUUUUUAUUUUUAUUUUUUUGCUUGUUAAGAAAAAUAAUCAUACCAUGCACAAGUCCUAAACAUGAAUGUAGUAUAAAUACCUCGGACAUAAGUGGAUGAUCAAUGUGAUCUUCGCAAUACAAAAUUAUGCAGAGGGCAUAUUUGCGAAUUUCUACAUUGUUUCUUCAAUGACACUCAUUUUUCAUAUCUACAAAUAAUGUGAAAUAAACAAUUUGUUCGCGAAAUGGCAAUUAUAAAUAAUGCCCAAUAAACAUUUCAGUGUUCUUUCUGAAAAGCACCAGCCAAAUAGAUUUUGGACAAAUACUCCAAAAAAUUGUUAAAUUGCAACCUAACAACAAUAUAAUUUACUUAAUUACCACAGAGUCUCAACCCUAGAAGGGAACUACCAAUAAACACUAUAGGAAUUUUCUUAUUUACAAAAUGCACGCUUUGUCCAAAUUAUUUUCUCACAUUAACUCUUUGUAAUAGUAAUCUAUUGUUUCUUUUUUCCUUUUUAUUCUGGCGAAAAAAAAACACAUAAAUACUCAUGGGGAUCUAAAAAUCAAGAAAAUGAAAAUGAUUCAACCUAGGACAAAACCACCUCUAGGCACAUAAAUACGAUGAAAAAUAAUGAGCCAAAAAGGAUUUUGUUGUCAUUGAUUUCACCUUUGAUUCGCUCCCGCGAUUCCUUCGACUUCAUUAUGUCUCUCUACAUCUUCUUGCUCCAAAUUGUAGCCCUCGCUUCCUCGGAGAUUUCCAUCCUCAUAUAUCUUUCAUUCACCCAAAUAACCACCCGAUAUUUCGCCGAGGUCCCUCUCGAUUCCCUUUUUCACGCUCCCCUAUUCGAUUUUAUCUUCAAUCACGACCGAUUUGCCUUUGUGCUCAUGCGCCGCAGCCGCGUAGCUCCAGGUAUAGCUAUUGUUCUUACUGUCCAUAUUUAGCUCUAUAGAGUGCAAGUCACUAUCUUCGGACUCGAACUCAUCCUCGUCUUCUUCAUCCUUUUCCUCACCUUCCUCCGAUCCACUCGCGACCACACCAAGCUGGAAUAGUUGGUUUUUAUUCUCGGUUAACUUGUUUGUAUUCUCGAUUUCUUUCUCUCUUCUUUUAUCUUUUAGAAAAGCGUCGAGCUCGUUCCUUAACUGAUCGACGGCGGCAUUUUUCUCCUCCAUUUGAAGCUUUGCUUCCGACAGCUUCAUCUGAACCCUCUCCUCUCGCCACUCAUCCGCGAUCUGAAGCAUUUCUCUCUCCUUUUCCAUUUCUUCUUUUACCCUUUUAUACUCCAUUCUCAUCUCUUCCAUAUUGGCUUUAUCCUCCGCAACCCCCCUCACCGUUUCGUUCCAUAUCUCUUUGAUCACUUCUCUCGAUCUCUUCUCUCUUUUGAGUUCUCCACUUGUUUUCACCAAGGAGGCUUUUAUUUCUGCUAAUUCGGCGGCGAGUUCAUUGUUAAGCCUCUCGGUUCUUUUUCUCAUUGCUUUUUCUGUUUCGAGCUCCCUCACGACGAGCCGAAAAGCGGCCUUAAAUCUUUCGCGAUCCUUGUUCUUCCAACCUUCCUUUGCUGUCGUAUUAUCCGACAGUUCUUCUUCGAUAAGCUCCUCGAUAUUUACGAGGGCCCCAUCCAACUCCGCUCGAAGAGCCGAAACAAGAGGAACGGUAGACGAGGGCUUCUCGCCUGAUCCCCAUAUGCGGACUAGUACUUUAAGAAGCUCUUUUGAUGCUGUUAUGCCAUUAUUUAAAUUCGUCAAGCACCUCAUCCUUCGUUUAGAUGAAAUAGAGGAUGGGAGGUUGUGAGAACAUGAAUGAAUCUGUAACACACAUAAGUUUCACAAACCAAUUUUGGUACGGAAUAUUCAUAAUUGAAUAGGAAAGAAACAAAAACAAAACAAAUCUAUGCAUAUGAAUUAGGCAUUUUCUAGAUAACUAAAAGCAUAAAGUUCGAAAUGCAACUGCACCAUGUUCAUUUACUGUCAACCAAGGAGUUAAGUGCCGUGGCACGGGUUCAUGCCGGAAACUUGCUGGCACGGUACGGCAUGACGCGUGCCAAGCCGUACCGAUGCGUGCCGGUCAAAAAAAUUCUUGUGUACCGACACAUAAUAGCAUGAAAUAUUUAUUUUCUUUAGCAACAAAAUAUUCUAAUUAUUUAUUAUGUCUUUUUAUCACAUCUUUUGAACUUUAUUGAGAAAAUUACUUACUAAUUUAAAGAAUAGAGGGUUUUGAGCUGUGCCAUCGGUACGGGGUCUGUAUCGUACCGGUAUCUUGUUGGCACGAUACGGCACGGUAGAUACGGCCUAUGCCGACGGGCACUUAAAAUCUUGCUGUCAACAAUACGAGUUACAAAUAUACAGUAUAACAAUGUUGACCACUAACAACUAUUCUCAAUAUGAUCCUUCAUAGAUGCUAAUAUUCUCUAUAUAAAUCUGUUUAGGUUGUAAUUAUCAGCUAAAAGCGACAGUAAGCUUCAGGAACUAAAUGCUUAACUCUCAAAAGGUGUUUGAAGUUUACAAACAAGAGAUAUAAAUGUUUACAAACUUGCUUAUGCCGCUGCAUUUUGUUGACAGGUAUUUGUAACUCACAAGGCAAGGAAAAAAAUACAGCCGUUCAAAACGCUGAAUUUGCAGAUGCUCGGAGAACUAGUUUCAAGCAAACAUUACUCAAAGAACUAAAAAUCCUCCUAUGCGAAGUUUCUAUGCUCGGUGGAAUUGUGUAAUCCUAACUUUCUUAAGAAAAGCAAAUAUGAAAUUUCUAUAAUCAAACGAAAUGGAAUAACUUACAAAAAAUAGUGCAUUACAAUUAUGCAUUAACCCAAAAAUUACAAAGUGAUGCAGUUCUCAAACCGCUGAGCUCAGAAAUAUCUGGAAACUUACGACACUAAAGUGAUUUAAGGAUGCCAAUAUUUGACAUGAACAGUCGAUUUUAAGUAGUUCUUAAAAGGUAGACCAGAUAGAUAGAUGCGACAAAUAGAUUAAUGCCCGCAUUCUUUUUUCUUUUCUCUUCUUUUCUUUUUCUUUUUUUUUUUCUUUGGUUUUUUCGGGGCACCCACAAUCAUUGCAUACAAAACAACAGUGAAAACCAACACCAAUUAUCAUAGCAGAUAGGAAAUUAUUGAAGUAAUCAAACGGUAACUCGCUAAAAUUGAAAAGGAAAGAAUAGGCAGAACUUAUUUACCUCUAACAUGCUCAUAUUGCCGUGUAAAUUUAAUGAUCUACGAUCCUUCUCAUUGAACCCGGGCUUCUGAUGCGCCAGUGGGAUCAUUCUUUUAUGAUUCCUCGCUCUCGAUUGAUUCUUAACCUAAAGUCCAAAACCAACACUACAAUAAGAAAUUUAACAGUGAUUCAGUUAAUUUAACUGUGUUCAACACCUUUUUGCGAUGCAACUGCGAGUUUCGUUAGCUGAUUAGGAAAGAUCCACAACAAUAAAAGCGGCCUAAUUCUGCUGAAACCAAUCUAAAAUGCCAUUACAGAUAUACUCACUUCUGAGAUAGCGCAAUGUGAUACGCUAGACCUUGCGCUGCUUCCUCGUCUUCUCGCCUCCUUCAAAACCCCCUCCUCUAAAUCUCCAGCCAUUUUAUCUGAGGGGAACUUAUUCAUUUGCCACAACAAAGUCGCGAGCUUUCGAGCCGAUAUCGAAGCUCGGACCCCUUUCGCACAAUUAUAUGAUUCUCGAUUCUUGAAUGAUUCAGAACUGUUACUACCCGAAGAUAUAGGAACUGGUGCAGUGGAUCUCCCCUUCUUCCUAACAACAAUUACCCUCUUAAUGGAAUGGUUCUUCUUCAAUGAAGGAUAUGUAGAUGAUGAUGAUGAUGUUGAUGAUGAACAAGAAACCCUUUUUCGGAUCUCGCGAGGCCCAUUUACAGAUCCAUUUGUGCCCACAUUGUGCCUAAGCAUUCUCUAGAGAGAGAGAAAGAGAGAGAGAGAGAGAGAGAGAGGUUGGUGGAAUGCAAUGAGAAACCAAGAACAAUGAAGAAGAGUGCUUCUUUUAUAGGUGAAUUUGUAAGGGAAAGGAGAGAUUUUUGAGGUGGAAAUGAAAUGGGGAUUAUAUUCAAAAAAUCAGAAAAAACAUGUGGAGGAAAAGUAGCCGUUGGAAUAAUCAAACCAAAAGCUGGUAAAGAGGGGGAAAAAAAAAAAAAAAAAAAAAAANUAAAAAACAGGAGAAGAGCUAUUAAAGUAAGUGCCCAUCUUUUUUUAUUAUUAUUAUUAAAAAAAAAAAAAAAAGAAGAGGAGCUCAUGAGAGUGAGAGAUAAGAGUGAGGAACAAAAGAGAUGGGCGCAGAAACUGUUGACUCUGGGAAUUAGUGGGUUUACACCAAAAUGGCCAAAAGAUUCGAGCUUUAUGUGAAAUUUUCUCCUCAAAUUACACAACGAAUAUCAAAAACACCAUCAAAUCUUUGGGGUUGCUCCAAAAAAGAAAAGGCUAAAAUUAAAAGUUUCAGGUGAAAAUUUCUCCCGAGAAGAUCAAACCCACUACCAAAGCGAAUGAGUCUGCGAAGUGGGUUUGCUCCAAAAUGGCCAAAAAUUGAAGCUUUAUGUGAAAUUUUCUCCUCAAAUCACGCAACAAAAUCAAACCCACUACCAAAACUGCCGAGUAUGCGAAGUGAGCUUGCUCCAAAAUCGCCAAAAAUUGACGCUUUACGCAAAAUUUCUCCUCAAAUGACACAACAAAAUCAAGUGGGUUUGCUCCAAAAUCGCCAAAAAUCGAAGCUUUACGCGAAACUUCUCCUCAAACUACUCCAACAGAUCAAACCCACGUAAAUUCAAAAAAAAAAGAAAAAACACACGAAAUUAAGAAUCUUGCAACGAGAAACAGAAACAGAGUACCUAAAGAACCCAACGUAAAAAAUCCAAACUUUAACUACGGAAAGAGCUCUGCUCGCUUCAGAAACCAAUUAAUUCCCAAGCGAUGGGAUCGAAAAGCUCGAGGCUUUUCAAUUCGCUACGCAUCAAAGCCAAAGUAUCGGUGUACAACGAUAGAGAUUGAUGCUGCGGAGGCGGAGCGAGCGCACGAGUGGGGGGGGCGAUGCGGCGGAAGAGACGAGGAGAGAGGAGCUCACAAAAGCUCGUCUCCUUGUGCUUAAUCGCUUGUGUUGCCCCCACGCUUCAUAGCGAGAGGUUUUAAAUAAAUAAAUAAAUAAAUAAAUUGCAUCGAACGCAGUAAGUACACACACCCACAGGCCACAGCUCGGAUCGGAGAGCGGCGUGAGCUGUUCCUCCCCACCUAAUAAAUUAUUUCCAGCCCCCGCCGCGGAGGGUCGUGUCGCACCUUCACGAUUAUUAUUUCUUUUCUUGUUUUUUUUUUUUCUUUUUUUGGGUUACAUUCAGGUCCUGUAAAAGAUAAAUUUUUACAAGACUUAAAUAAUGAGAUUAUUUCUUUUAAUAAAAGUUUUGGUUCCUUCGCAUGUAUUAUUCUCCCUGUCUCUUGAUUCACCGCUACUUUUUUAAUAAACAUAUACUUAAAAUAAUUAUUUUGUGUCCUUAUAAAUUUAUCCCCCAUAAAAAGCUCCUUUUUUUAUUUUUAUUUUGUCGCCCCUCGCCUUUGCAGCGGCACGUGUGGCGUAUCUUAUUUUUGCCGUGCCAAGGACAUUGCCUUCGACGUUGCCGUUGCUGUAGACCUUGCCGUCGCGAUAGAUAAAAAAAAGAUGGUGAGAAAGAUAACGAGACUCGACAUUGAAAUACAAAAUUUAGGCAUAAAGGAUAAAAAGGUUAUUUUAUUUAUUAAUUAACUGACCGAUGAUUAUCUAAAUUUUGAUAACAGAAUGAUAUAUUUGCAAAUGAAAAAAUUUUUUGAGGAAUAAAUCUGAUAACUAAGUUUUAUAGGAAUAUAUUUACCAUGUGUAAUUAUCCUUUUUCUUAGUUAAGGGGCUUUUUGCUUUUUCUUUUGCCUGUUAUUCGAAAUUUUCAAAUUUAUACUAAAAUUAUCAAAAUAUUUUUUAAAUUUAAAUCUCAUUAGUAAAUUUUAGAGGAUAUUUGAAGGAAUUUUUAGAAAUCAAUAAGAAUAUUUUAGUCAAAGAGCGGUGUAUUAUUUGAAGGGUAUGUUAAAUAUUAUCCCUGUUUUUAUUAAUAGGUUUAAAAUACUAUAAUCAUAAAAAAGCAAUUUAGGUUUAAAAGUACUAUAAUUAUAAUUUUAUGUUUUGAAGGAUAUAUUAGAUAAUUUUAAAAUAUUUUUGCUUUAAAAAUGAAGUCCAAAUACAAUCUGAAAUGUUAUAUGGAUUUGCCAAUAUAUCAAGAUAUCAACAAUAAAUAUAUAUAUGAGAAUAACUGAUCACCGGCUAGUGCAAGCGUCAAAGGAUUUAAUAAUUGAUACCGGAGGUCUUAAGUUUAAAAUCUAAUUACUUCACAUUUUCAGCUAAGUUUAUGCUUUUACUUUUAGAUCUUGGAAUCACCUUGUACUCUUUAUUCUGUCCUACUUGGGGGCUUGCUAUGUAGGGCGCAACCAUGUGCAAUAUUGUUCAGCUAGCAUAUUGUCAGGGACUGAGCGAAAUUGUUGUGCUUUCUUGGCCUAUCUUCGCUAGCGGAGCGGGCUGGAAAGGAGGUUCAAAACCAGCAGUCGUUAUGGGAGACAAAGAGUCAUAUAAUUGCUAGAGUUAAUGGCUCCAAACCGUACCGCCAAAGAAAAUCCAAGUAGUGGAGUACUUAGUUUUUUGGAAACCUCUUCUUCUCUCUUCUUUCCUUUUUGCAUAUUUAAUCGUAGGGCGUGGAAGUCCAGACUAACAACAAGGAGCUAAACUUGUCCAUCUUCGAGCAGGAAGACAGGCGUCAUACGGACUUUACGAACAAAAACGCUAAGGCUAUGACAAUAUAUAUAAUAUUGCUAAAAGCACACCAAUACAGAAGCUCCAAAUUAGAGCUUUAAUAUUGGUGCAAGAAUAAUCCUGGUGAUCAAAUCAGCCCUCAUAAUGAAAAUUUUGUGAUUGCCAAGCAUCUACAUUGUAAGUAAAAACUUUAUUCCAGAGAAAGGUAACAAGCAAUUUGAUUCAUUCACUUUCCUUUAGAAAUAAAUUUUAGUUGAAAAUGUGAAUCAACUAAACUUCAAAUUUGGGACCUCGGGUACCAACCACCAAGACUUUUGCUAGUUGCUGUGGGGACGAUUAGUAUUAUAAGUAAAAGCAGAAGCAAAGAAGUAUGACAAAAUUAUGGUAAAUAUUCUCACAAUUCCUUAAACAUAAUAGAGGAUCAAUUUGUUCGAUGUGGCACAGGUCAUUAUUUAUUCAAAGCAAUCCAUAAAGAUACAGUCGAUCCAACGAUUAGAAUAUAUCUGGACACGUCCUUAAUGGACGGAUGUGAUUAAACAUCUUUACAAUAGAUUAUAUAUAUAAAACAUAACGGGAAUCCCGAUCUAACCAUAUAUAAUCCUAUUUUCCUGUAAUAGCUCCAUCUCUGGAGAUAAGAGAUGGAUAGUGAACGAGGAUGAAUUAUAAGAAAGAAUCAUCGUCUAUAAUACGCAUCUGAAAAUCGAAAUUAUCACAGAAUGUACGAUUUUAAUUGGUAUAUGAUUUAAUGCGAUCAUCUCCACUUGAAAGUAGGAAAGAAAAUAAAUACCUCUCUAGAAAACUUUGUCCAUAUGAGAUUAAUUGUAUGAACAAUUGUUUAACCAAUAUAUAUAAAUCCUAAUUAAUUCUAGGUUAAUAAUUUCCACCAUCUCAAGACAAAUACAACAGGAAUAAUGUGAAGAAGUAAAAUACUCUUUACAGAGAUUAAUUCUUUGCCAUAUUGAGACAUAAUUUUCAUGUCAAAUAUCAUGUAAACCCAUUUGGCCUCCAAAAUUGACUUGGAUAAUUAAGUAAAUUCCACUUAAGAUGUAAUCUCAACUGUAUAUAUCAAUAUGACACUAGAUUCAUGUAAAUCACUAAACCCUUUAUUUUUUUAUCAUUAUAAGUCCGGAGAGAGACAAGCAUAAAUUAGCUCAUUACUUACACAUCAUACAUAUCUAUAUAUAUAUAUAUAUAUAUAUAUAUACCAACAACGAGGACAAUAAUUCAGGAAACAUGUUGCAAAGUUGAUAAGAUAAUUGAACUAUUCAUUAAUUAUCAUGGAAAUUAAUUCAUCGACAAUAAUUUAAGGUGACACUCAAAAUACACAGUAACACUUUUUUUUUGGUCGAAUAAUACACAGUAACACUACUACUCAUAAUUUUUUAAUGAAGAACGUAAUAUUUCUCUUUGAAAUGAACAAACUAUAUACUAUUUUAUGUGAUGUCGAAAGAAGCCUAAUAAAUGCACAAAAACAAAAGAUUAAGAUGUGAUAGGGCACACUUGCACGAGACAUGCAUAACGGCGACGUGACGCAUAACGCCGUUCCUGGGGAACACACGUUCCUUUCCCAAGUGUCGUUUUGUAUAACAAAGCUUGUGGAUGCAACAAACAAUGUGUGUAAUUAGGCUAAAUAGCAUGUCACUGUCCCAACCCUGAUAUGUUUCUACGUAGAUGGAAAGAGGAGGAGGAGAAUGGUAUAAUUAUUCCUUAAAGAGUGCAUUUUUAUGUAAAAAGUAUAAUUUUUAUUUUAAAAGAUUUAGUUUACAUCUCAAAUAAUGUAGCUUAUAUUUAUAACAGUAUAACGUUUUUCUAAACGGUGCAACUUCAUUUUCUUUUUUCUUUUUCUCUAGUUGUUCUUCUUUAUUCUUUAGUUUUUUGUCUUUAGUUAAUUUUUUUAUUUUAAGCAAAUAAAAGUGCUUGAUCAGAGAUACUGCAGUGGAGGUGGAGGGCGAAGAGAAAUUGGGUGCAGAAGAAGCACAAGGAAGCGGAAGGAAAAGAGUAGGAGGAGAAGUAGUGUAACUAUCUCCCAAAGAAUACAAUUUUCGUUUAAAGAGUGCAUUUUUAUGUAAAAAGUAUAAUUUUUAUUUUAAAAGAUUCAGUUUACAUCUCAAACAAUGUAACUUAUAUUUAUAACAGUAUAACGUUCUUCUAAACAGUGCAACUUUAUUUUCUUUUUUCUUUUUCUCUAGUUGUUCUUCUUUAUUCUUUAGUUUUUAGUCUUUAGUUAAUUUUUUAAAUUUAAGCAAAUAAAAGUGCUUGAUCAGAGAUACUGCAGUGGAGGUGGAGGGCGAAGAGAAAUUGGGUGUAGAAGAAGCACAAGAAAGCGGAAGGAAAAGAGAAAGAGAAGUAGUGUAACCACCUCCCAAAGAAUAUAAUUUUUGUUUAAAAAAUAUAACUUUCAUCAUAAAAUGUGUACUUUAUAUAUCAAAGAGUACAACUUACAUCUACAACAAUGCAACAUUUUUUUUAAAACAGUGCAAUUUCAUCUUAACAUUGCAACUUUAUCUUUAUCUUCUUCUUCUCUGGUUAUUAUUUCUUAUUUUCUAGUUUUUUACCUUUAAUUAAUUUUUUUUUCUAUUUUAAGCAAACAAAAAUGCUUGACCAAGGAUACUCUUGUGUAGCCCCUCGCCCUCCUUGCCUCUGACCCCACCAAGGCCGCGCUCGUCGCCGCCCUCUGGGACGCCGCCUCCGCUUCUGCCGCCCUUUUCUCUGGCGUCGUCACGCUCUCCUCCAUCUCAACCUAGCUCGCUCACUACCGGUCCCAGGCGCAGUGGGUUGUGUGCCCCCUCCUUUACCGACGAGCUUUUCGGCGCCGAGAAGCGCUUACUUUUCGUUAUCGGCGGCAGUGGUCAAGACUGCGAGUUCCCAGAAGGGGAUAUAGUGGGUGAAAAUUUUGCUACAAUGGAGAUGGAGGGCGAAGGCGGAGGAAGAGGACGAAAUGUCGUCCUUGUUACCGUCGCAGAGGGCCGCGGAGACGGUGGAGGAGGAUUGGAGAGAAAAAAUAUAUAUAUAUAUAGUCACGACGCAGCCUCGGUGGAGUCAGAGGCGAGGAGGGUGGGGGGUGCGUGGGCGCAUGCGAGGGCGCUCAGGGCAGAGGCGAGACGGGCCGCCUCCGCUUUCGCCGCCUUCUUCGAAGAUAAUGAAAAAAAGAAUGAGAGAAAAACCAAAGGAGAGAGAGAAAGGAAUAUGAAUAUUUUGGUCAGCUUUUUGAAUUCGGACCGAAUUUGUAAAAUCCAAAAUGAUGGUUUACUUUUGCAAAAAUCUCAGAACUAAUGAAUUUUUUAUACAAAUUGGCCUAAAAUAUAUCGUGAGGGCCUCUAUCAAAGAAUAUAAAUUUUAGAUGUACUGUGUGGGAGAAACCAAUAAAAGAGCAAUAGGGGCCGGGCAAUUGAGAGGCCCUGUGUCUCUUCCAAAAUCAGAUCCGACAAAUCUAUGCACUUGUAAGUUAAAUAAUAGAGGGAGAGACUAAUUUCCUAUUUUAGCUAAUUAGGGGUGCAUGUAGGGGUGUAAUGUGGGUCGCGCCGUAGCCGGGCCGAAAUGGGCUAGGAGCCUGUCAAAAUCGGGCCGGGCCAGGCUCGAGCUGCCUAGCCUCCGACCCGGCACGGUCCUUCGGCCCUGAAGGCACGGGCCGUGUUUCGGGCCGAGCUCCUAAAAUAUUUAUAUUUUAAAAAAAUUAUUAUUAAAAAUUAAAAAUUUUGUAUAAAAUUUAAAAUUAAAAGUAUUUUCUAUUUUUAAAAUUUUUUUAAAAAAAUUUAGUAUUUAUUUUUAAAAAAUUUUAGGGCCGCGACCUGCCGGGCUAUCGGCCUCUCCUCGGCCCCGAGCCGUCGGGCCCCAAGGGAGAGGCCCAGCACGGCUCGGCAGCUCCGGCCGGGCCGACCGAGCACGGUGCUACAGUACCUAUGCCGUGAAUAGCCCGGCCCAAAGCCGUGCCAGGCCGGAUGGCCCACAUGCGGUCCGACCCGUUUUACAUCCCUAGAGCCCUGUCACCCUAACCAACCACCUCAUUUUAACUAUAAGUAGUAAGGGCAUUAUUAGUUUGGGCAUUACAACUAGGCGAGACCAAAAAAGUUACGUGAGUUUUUGGUUUUCCAGAAAGAUUUUAAAAAAUAGUUUUUUAAUUGAAAAGGUAAUUUUCGUUUAUUUGUUCCCGUUAGAUGUGACUCGAAAUCUACUAUCGAUUCAGGUUCGGAUUUACGACUCACCGACAGCUUCGCGGUGCGACUAAUUUGGAAAAGAAAAUUAUGGAGGAAAAAUGAAUGUCUGUGGUGGGUAGCGGAGGGCUCGGGCCGACAGGCCCGAGCUCGUAGCCCAUAGAGGGUACGGAUCGGAUCCGAAACCUGUAAUGAGUUUUUUUUCCUUUUUCGUUUAUCGUUUAUGCCCUAGAGGCGUGUGAUCGUGGUUGGUUGUAACCUGAAGAACAUUGUAUUCCCUUUUUCGUUCCAUAGUGAAGCACUCUCCUCCCUCGCCCGUGGUUUUUCCCUGCAAAGGGUUUUCCACGUAAAUCUGUGUCUCUUUAUUUUCUGUUUAUGGUUUGAUUGUUUUUUGUGUUCGUCAUUUCGUUUCCGUUUGUGCGUUUGUCGUAACAGUUCCAACAAAAAAAAAGUUUUAUCUGAAUUUUUCAUUUAUUCAGAAAAAGUGAAAACUACGAAAAAAGAAAUUUUUUUUUUUGAAAAACUUUUUUUCGGAAAAAUAAUUUCCCAUAAUUUCCUAAGGAACUGAAUAUGCCUUAAGCAAUACACGCUAAUUGGAUUGAGACCACUUGAUUUAUAGAGAAUUAUCUAUAUGGAUUNAUGUGUAACAGUGAAAGCCUGAAAGAGAGAGUGUGUUAUGUAAAUUUAGAGUUGGGCUCAAUUGCACGGUCGUACUUGUUGGGUUUAUUUUAUGGGCCAACAAUAAUGGCCCAAAUUAAAUUAAAGCCUAUAUAUAAUUAAAAUACAUUAUAUUUAUAAAUAUUAUAUAUAUAUUUUCGAGCUUUUCGAGCUUUUCGAGCCUAAUUCGAACGAGCCAAGUAAUACUCAAGCUCGGCUUGAAAUGAAUUUCGAGCCUUUUAUUUUGUUCAAGCUCGGCUCAUUUAAUUUCGAGUCGAGCUCGAGCGAGCCGAAUAUCGAGCCGAACACGAGUCGAACGCGAGCCGGCUCGCUCGUUUGCCAGCCCUACUUGGAAGAAUCCAGAAUGGAAAGGUUUAAUAAUACAGUGAGAAAGUCUAGUCAAUGGCAAUUUGGUACAUUCAACCUGAAAUGGAAACACAAAAUACUAUUUUUACUCGUAUUAAUCCAUAUAGAUAAUUUCCCAUAAUUUCCUAAGGAACUGAAUAUGCCUUAAGCAAUACACGCUAAUUGGAUUGAGACCACUUGAUUUAUAGAGAAUUAUCUAUAUGGAUUAAUACGAGUAAAAAUAGUAUUUUGUGUUUCCAUUUCAGGUUGAAUGUACCAAAUUGCCAUUGACUAGACUUUCUCACUGUAUUAUUAAACCUUUCCAUUCUGGAUUCUUCCAAGUAGGGCUGGCAAACGAGCGAGCCGGCUCGCGUUCGACUCGUGUUCGGCUCGAUAUUCGGCUCGCUCGAGCUCGACUCGAAAUUAAAUGAGCCGAGCUUGAACAAAAUAAAAGGCUCGAAAUUCAUUUCAAGCCGAGCUUGAGUAUUACUUGGCUCGUUCGAAUUAGGCUCGAAAAGCUCGAAAAGCUCGAAAAUAUAUAUAUAAUAUUUAUAAAUAUAAUGUAUUUUAAUUAUAUAUAGGCUUUAAUUUAAUUUGGGCCAUUAUUGUUGGCCCAUAAAAUAAACCCAACAAGUACGACCGUGCAAUUGAGCCCAACUCUAAAUUUACAUAACACACUCUCUCUUUCAGGCUUUCACUGUUACACAUAACCCUAAAAUAUGAUAACAUUCAAAUCUCUACUUUUUUUCCUCUCUCUCUCUCUCUCUCUCUCUCUCUCUCUCUCUCUCACUAGACCUAUCCAGUCAGGAAGUCACCUAGCUCACAUUUCUUAUAAUUAUUUUGUAUUUUGAACUAUUCAUGUUGCAUCAAAUUGUAGGUAAUGUUCUAUAAAAAUUAAACUAUUGAUUAUAUAAUGUCGAGAAUUUCAAUCGGCUCGUUUAGAGCUCGAGCUCGACUCGACUCGAAAUUAGGCUCGCUCGAGUUGGCUCGAAUUAAUUUCAAGCCGAGCUUGAGCCUAGAUUUAGGCUCGAAAUUAAUUUCAAGCCGAAUUUGAGCUGACAUAAGCUCGCUCGAGCUCGGCUCGUUUCCCCCCUACUUCCAAGGGUAUACGUGUCAACUGAAUCAUUUUAAGAAUUUUUGUUGUUGCAUUUUCUCAUUUUUGAUAAAUUGUAUGGCUAAUCCAUGCGCUAGUUCAUUGUCGAAUGAAUGAAGCGGUAGCGUGCUAUCUUUUUUUCAAAAAAAAAAAAAAAAAACUGUUUGGUUGAAUGUAACUAAAAAUACAAUAAAGUUGAAAAAUAUUAUAACUAUAUGCAUUGAUUUGAUAAGAUAUGAUAAAACAUACUACAAGUAUAAAUAAUUUAUUUUUUCUCUCUCUCUCUCUAUAUAUAUAUAUAUAUAUAUAUAUAUAUAUAUAUAUAUAAAAUUUAUUUGAUUAUAUACAAAUGAAAAUUAUAUUUUUAAAUUUUUAUCACUUUAUAUAUAUGAUAAUAAAAUUACCUUCAAUGUAGAAAAAAAAAUAUUUAAAAAAUCAUUAAAAAGAUAAGCUAGAAUUUUAUCAAAAUUACUCUCUCCCUGCCUCAGUAAAAAUUAAAAACGUAUUUUCAGUUGCCGCAGUUGAACUUUCUUGUACUGUUCCAAAUACUGCAGUUGAAUUCAAAAAUAUAAAACCAAACACCAAAUAGCCCCUUAGUACAUGUGUUUUUUUACUUAUACACAUCAGCUGUGAAACUUUUAUCUUUAAAAAUUUAGAGAGCACAAGAUUUUCUAAACGCGAUGACUAUUUUAAUCUUAUUUCUAUGGUAAUUUUUCCCAUUCAGCGUACUUGAAGAAGUGGUUGAAAAGGCCAUUAGAUUUUGUUCAUAGUGAUGACCAGCUGAAGCACUCCUAUUUUUUAGGAGACAAGAAAACAGACAGGGCUCAAGAAACAUAAUGGCAUCAGAAGAAUAAAACUCAACUUUUCUACUCUUUACAAGAUGUCUUAAUCAGGAUAAAUUUUAAUAACUUAGAAAUAUGAUUGAACAACAAAGCAUCGAUACUUUCGGAUCUUUGAUCUUCGCCAAUGCGUAAGUAAGCUAAUCUCACUUUAUUGAUGUCAAACCUAUGUAAAGGAAAUAUCACUUCUCACACUGCUAGAGGAUGUCUGAUCACUCCGCGCCCUUCAUCAAGAAUGAAGUUGCUGUUUCUGAAAUGCGUGCUAGUGAAGAAUGGUUUCAAAUCAUAGAUUUCGUACUCCUGAGCCUGUGACCACCAAAAAUACAAAUUAAAAUAUUUUUUAUUUUCCCUUUUUCUUGUUUUGACAUUAGAUAUGAUCCAGACGAAAGAAAGUAGCAGUGACUACUGACUAGUCCUAUUCUUACCUUAGUCCGCAACUCAUCCACUUUCACUUCGAUGUGAGUGAGGUGUCGAGUUGAUCCUGAGACAAUUUCUUCAAAAUACAAAGCAUCCUUCACGAGUAUUCGCAGUAGAUGCAGCAGCAAUUCGUUGUAAUCCUUCUUGAAGGUCAUGUAACUCCUAAAGCUCUGCAAACAGGUAGAGGUAAGAGUUAGCUCUCUCAGCGAUAAUCAUGAGUUAAUUCUCUUUUAAAUGGCAAAUGUGCUUUUAGUCCGCACCGUGCUCAGCUUUAAAACAACUCUAUUUCAAACAAUAGAAGCUUCUAGAGAUGAGACGUUUGGCUAGCAAAAUUUCUGAAAAUUUAACCAUGGCAGAAAGCUAAAAUUUCAAGGCUUCUAUUUCUGCUGGUGAGAAGCUGAAGAAAAGACUUUUUGUUCUUUAAACAACUCGGCUCAAGUAGCAUUUAUGCCGAAGCUUCAGUGAGGCCAAACAGGCGCUAUGGCCAGUAUUCAAGAAGUAUGAGUGGCAUGCUCAAACCUAUACAUGGCAUGCUCAAUAAAAUUUGAACAAGAAAUGUAUAAUGAACAAAGUCUCGGAUAAUUAAUAUGGAUACAUUAAGAGCUCCACGUGAUCUAACCAAUAGUAGUUAGCUUUCAUUAACCUUUUGAUAUUUACAGCCAAAUUACAUUCAUACCUUCUGUAGUGCUUUUUGGACUCCAAAUUUCUGGGUUGAUAUGAAGGAAUCGAGCAAUACGCGUAUCGCCAUGUCAACAUCUUCUUGCGACACAUAACCCCUCAGAUGCAUUCUUGCAUGUGCUUCUGACAUCCUAAUCAUUGAUUCCAUAUGCCUCACUGCAAUUGGAACCCCUUGGCCGUGCUGUAAAAGUCAUGGAACGAUAAGAUGAGAGUUCAGGAAACAUACUAUAUUAAAUAACCUCAAGAAAAGUAACAGAUCUCACAGAUGACUCUCGGCGAAGUUCAGCAUAAACAUGUGUGAGUUUAUCCAAGUCAGCAUCAUGUAAUCUCGGAAAGACGUUCAACUUGGCAUAUGUUAUGUACUUCUUGAGCAUGUCUUGAGAAAGUAUCUGACCAUGUAGCAGUUUGUUAGACAGAAUUUAAGACUAGCUUAAAGUUUUUUUUCAAUUAAUUAUAAAUUCAACUACUAGGUUUUGGCCCUGAUUUCAGUUAUAUCCCCAAAGUUUCAAUAUAAACAAUUUACUCUCUGAAAGUUGUUUUGCAUGACAAUUAAGUCCUAUCUUCAGUCUUACUCUACAGUCCAAUAUAAUGCCAUAUCAGCAUCAUCAUUGAAGACGAACGUCAGAAAACUGGUGGCAGCAAACUCUAACAAUGAUGUUUACUAACCUCUUUUUUCAUAUGGUAAACUGUGUAAAAGACUUGAUUGUUACAUGGGACAAACUUUGAUAACUAAAGGGAAUAAUGGACAUCGUGGUCAAACUUCAACAAUUAAAUUUGCAAUACCCUUUUUGUACAAAAAAGGUAGAUAUUCUCACACCUCUGGAUCAGCUGAUCUAGCAGAGGCCAGGAGAUCGUCUUGCAAGUCAGAGGCAGGCUUAUCUUCUAGGUUGGCCCCCUUAGGUUGAGAUCUAGCAUGGCUAUCUACAACAAAUCUUGCAAGCAUUUCAUCUGUAACUGUAUCGACAAUGUCCUGCACAUGAUUAAAAGUGAACAUUACCAACAAAUGAGAUUAAGAUUUGUCAUACGAAACUAUUUUAAGUUAACUGAAGGUGGAAUUCAACCUUAACAACGCAAAGGAUAUCGAAUCGUGAUAUGAUAGGUUCAGUCAGUUCCACAUUUUGAAGAAAAGUCUUCGAGGAGUCGUAUCUGAAGAUACAAAAUAUGUUAAAUUUUCUUCCCAGUGAUGAAUGUUUAUAUAUGAAACUUUUUACUUUUUCUGAGUAAAAUCCGUUUUAAUUAUUGGUGUUACCUUCCUCCAAUUGGAUUUGCUGCAGCAAUGACACUGCAACGAGCUUGGAGAGAUGUAACUAUUCCAGCCUUUGAUAUGCUGAUGCUCUGUUGUUCCAUGGCUUCAUGGAUACUCACCCUGAAAUUAGCAACUACCAAAUAUAGUCAGCAGGAUAAGGGUAAUCGGAAAUGAAAAAUUAUCUUUGACUACAUAUUCAUGGGGCCUUCCAUAAAUCUCCCUGCAAAACUAUCAGUUUUCAUAAAUAGUCCUGUCAAAUCUGAAUUUUCAUAUAUGCCCUUUGAGAGGGCAGUUGCUUAAAAAAUAUGCUUAGUUGAGGAGUCAUGCUGGGAAUAAGUUCAUUUCAUAUUAUAAACAAAUUCUCAAAGAUCUGAAUAUCUGCAAGUACAAUGGGCAUAUAUGUAAGCAGCCAAUUCUCUUACGAGCAAUUGCAGGAGUAUAUACAUAAAUAAAUAAUUUUGCGAGGAUAUCUAAGUUACUAUCUGAAUGUAGUUUAACCUGUCCUGAUCAUUCAUUUUGUCAAAUUCAUCGAUUAGGCAGAUCCCUCUAUCCGCCAGAACAAGUGCACCUCCUUCAAGGGUCCAUUCCCUUGUCACGGGAUCCUUAUGCACUGCAGCUGUGAGCCCAACAGCAGAAGCACCUUUCCCUGUCGUGUAGACAGCUCUAUGGCCGGUCUUCUCAACAUACCUAUGAAAAAAAAAGUAAGGGCAUUGUUGUAUGUCCCAAACAAAAGAAAAAAAAUGAACCAAUUACAAAUUUAGACCAUGAAGUUGACUCCAAAGUUCAAUAUCAUCCUUAAAAGUUAUAAUUUUCGCAAAACCGAACUGCCGGAAGGUUUGAGGCUACAAGGACAAAACUGAAAUCAAAGUCAAACUUGAUGCAAACUUCAUGCACUAACCCUGAAACAAAUCAAAGAAAAACAAGUGUAAAUACAUCUCAAAGUCUUCCAGGGCUUACUUGAGAAAUUGGGAUUUAGCAGUGCCAGGAUCACCUAAGAGGAGAACAUUUAUAUCCCCUCUUAACCGAUGUUUACCCGUAGCAUUCUUUUCUUGUCCUCCAAACAUGGCAAGCGCAAUUGCUGUCUUAAUAUCUUCAUGACCAUAGAUUGAUGAAGCAAUAGACUUAAUGAUCUGUGUGUUCAGUUACAAUCUUUUAGCUGAUGAAUAUUUCUUGAAAAUAAAUUAAAAAACUAAGCUAACAAAAACAAUCCGAAUACUUUCAUCAAAAUAACAAAGAAAACAUUAACGAACAAACCCUUUCUCCAAUUCUUGGAUCUUUUGCUAACUUCUCAAUUUCAGCCUUAUCCUCAUCAGUAAGUUUGUAAGCAGAGAAGAGAUCCUGCUUUUUUGCAACAUAAUUCGCCUCAACCACUGUGGCAAAAACAGGAAACCCGUUUUUUGUGUUUAAUGAUAAGUCGAAGUUGUUGGUGUAUAUGCCUGUAACCUCCUGAAAGAGGACAAGGAAACAAAUUCUCCUUCAGAACCUCUACUUGUACUAACAAGGAAGACAAUAAUAUACUAUAGGUGAAGUAAUUACAAUUUCUUCCCCUGGGCGAGCACAGUCAAUUAGAUCAUUCAGAAGUAUAACUUCCUUAUAUCUUGGAAGCCUGCCAGCUGGCACAAUUCCAGGACUCUCCUGGAGGGUCAGUUUCUGGUAGUUCCUGUAUAUAGUCUGGAAUAUAGGGACACAGUUAGAUAACAAAAACAAAGAUGCCAUUGAUAUUCUUUAAACACAAAAUAUUCAAUUAAUACGAUGAAUAUAUCAACAGUUAGAAAGUACAAGAUGAGACAUUAGAGUACUUCAUUCCAGAUUGCUUAAGGCUAAAUACAGAAAACCCCCUCAAUAAUCAAAAACACACAGCGUAACCUCGUCGAUUACAGAAAAUGAUGCACUUUUACCCGCUACAGAAAGGGACGAAAGUGCUAACAUUUCAUAAAAGAGGGAUUACCCCUAGAUUUUCAUCAUCAAGUACGGUAAAGUGCAAACCAUGAUAUUUACAGACAGCUUUCUGUGCUCUAGUUAAUUGUUGGAUUAUCUUUACCAUUAGACAAAAUGUUUGAUGCAAAUGUAGCUUACUUGCUCGACAUUAACAGUGAACGGUCCUUUGGAUUGGCAUUCAGGACAAGAACCCACUUUUACUUCUGAAUAAGAGUUCUGGAAGAAGGGGCCAAGAACUGCCCCACAUUUACUGCAAUCGUACUUCACCUGCUGCAGCUGGGGGAAGACCCCUGAUCGCCGAGUCACAACACCUCCUAUACGAAUCAUUGUGUUCAGAUGGAUCUGCCUGAGAUACAACAAAGCAUCAGUCCAUCAGAAAGAAGGAUUACCAUGCCUUAGAAAAAAAUGAUGUUUUACCUGAUAUUUCUUAUCUGAUCAUACACUGGUAAAUUAGUGAUGCGGACGUAGAUCUUUUGAUGGAUGUUCUUGUAAUUCUUGUGGAGAUCAAAGACAACAUUUUUUGCCACUUCUUCCAUGACUUCAAGCACUGACUGAGGUGCAUCGGCCAGCCAGAUAGCAAUGUUUGGAUGAACAUAAAUAAAUUGCUUGUAAUCUAUUUCUAGACUACAUUUAUUAGCUGCACAAACAGAUCAAGCAAUAAAAUCAGCAAAAGCAACCAAGAUUCUCACGGCAUAAAGUCCAUGCUGUUAAUGACCCAUCAGAUAAAUUGCAUAAGGGUCCUCAACCUCUUAGAGUAGUUUAAGUCCUAAACCUUUUGAUUGGUACAAUUGACUCUCUAACUUUUGCAAUUUACAACACACUCACACUUUCAGUUAAAUCCUAUAUCGCAUUGGACAAGCAUAGCCAUGUAAUCAUCAUACAAAUGCCCCGAUAUGAUUUCUCAGCCUCUCAUAUGGUGAUUGAGUGGGUAUGUCCAUCCAAUCUUGCUAGGAAUUUACUGAAAAGUGUACAACCACAUUAGAAUGCAAAGUUAAGGACCCAACUGUAACAUCUGAAAGGAUAGUUGUUCCCCCAGUGUAGAUUUACCCUCUAUGGACAGUAGGUCUUCCAUCAAAACUGAAGAUAAAAAGGGGUAGAGUAAUACCUAGAACCAGCUCAUUAAUCAACCGUACAUACUCAAAUUCCCCCUGUUCAUUCUUAGGAUUCACAUAAGUAAGCAGGAAUUCCUUAAAUUUCCUGGCAAUAAAUCGGCGUACUUCGUCUCUUGUGACCCACUCUCUCAAUGUUCCUUGGACCCGAUACAUAUUCAUUUCACCUUCUUCAUCAUAUUCAUCCUGUAAAGUGAAGUGCAGCAAAACAAGCAUGAGAAAACCAACUCCACAUGAGCUGUAUCAUACUUCAACCAAAUAUAAUAAUAUUAAGUAAAAAGAAUACAUUUGCAAGGGGCAAAUAUAAAAAAAAUCACAUUUUUGGAGCAUAUUACUAAAUAGAAGAAUUUGAAAGGUGCGUAUAUUAUAUAUUAAAAGGCCCAUUGCAAGUAUCAGCACCUCGUAUGGGUCAUCAUCAGUCUGAUCAGUAAAUGGCACAUCAGAGUGUCCACGCUGAGAUCUUCCUGGCGAACUUUGCAUGGCAGCAUCAGCUUCAUCAUCACUUCUUGCACCACUUGGAGGAGGCCUGAAAUCAGCUCUAUGCCGUUUUGCCCGCCUGAAGUUCAUAUCCUCAUCUGUGUCUGCAAUUGCAACAAAGGACAACUUUUACUCGCGAUGGUAAGCAUUAACCAUAAAAUACAUGUGGUAGUGCGACAUUGUAAAUUUAAAACAGUAAAUUCUAGAAUGUUAGACAAAAAAGAGGUUUUAUUUGAUGUGCAGGUUCACAUCCCAACGCUGGUUUAAAGUUUCAGCGGUAGCACAAGAAACAAAAUAUAGAAAUUCAGCUACUUCCACAGCAGUUCAAAAAGUAGGGUUUGAAUAAUAUAGAAAUUCUUAGCUCAGUUGUUCCUCCAAUAACCAUCCACACAUACAUACACACAUCAAUAAUCCCAAAUUUCGCCAAUCAAUUCAACAAAAAGCUUAUAAUAAGAAAACAUCCGACAAUUCUCAAACUUGAGACUUUAUGUUUCAUAGAACAGUAAAUGGCCCUUCGUAGAGGGUCCAGUGAUCAGCAGCAUGAACAUCAUUUCAAACCCGAUCAUUCCUUUCCUAUUUAAAGACACUCCGAAUCUAAGCUCACAUAAAAAUAUCACCCACAAAAUUCACAAGGUAAUAAGAUAUGCACAGGAGAUAUAAGAAAGGUGACCUAUUUACCCUGAUCAUGAAGCAUGCGAGGGAGCUUCCGAUCGGUCCGCACAUCCCUAGCAUCGAGCUCAACCUCUGCGGCCCUCCGAUCGGCCAUGAUCUGAUCCAGAUCUCUCUCAUCCUCCAUCGAAUCAUCCAACCCCAUCGACUCAUACUGAUCCUGCUCGUCCAUCCGGCGGUAAUCACUAUAACCCUCAAACUCCUCCAAAUCAGAAACACGCACAGAGGAAAAGAUCAAACAAGUCACAAAUUAGGGUUAGGGUUUCCGGCAUUUGCUUACUCCAGGUAGUUGUCGUUGUAGAGAUCCUCCCCUUCCUCCUCCUCUUCGUCGGCCCCGACGCCGCCGCCGCCAGCGUCCAUGUCGUCGUCGGGGAUGACGUGGGGGUCCACGGCGGCCUCGUCGUCGUCGUCGGAGAAGUCGUCGUCGGUGGCGCGGCUCGUGUUGGGCGGGAGCCGGUCGGUGCUGAACCCGGCCGAGGUCGGGGAGCCGGGCGUCGACGGGGUGUUCUCGGGAUCAUCCUAGGGUUAUACAUGAAGGAUCAAAAUGGCGAAAGAGAAAAGGAAUCGAUCACGAGAGGGGAGAGAGCGAGGGAGAGAAAUGGGGGGCAUAGAUUUGAGGGCUUACUCACCAUUGUUGGGAUCGAUUAGGGUUUCUCUUUCUUCUUGUUCUUCUUCGUCUCCUGUUGCUUCGAGUGCUUAGCGAUCACACCUCGAGAGAACAGUGGCCUAGGAACGAGAUGGGGUCGUCUUAUUGGCGGGAUGGGAUUUUGGCGGGAAGAUUUCGCGCCACAACGGGCGCGCGUACGUGACAGCGAAGCCCUAGGAAGUCGCGUGGGUGGGCCCAUUGGCUUUAUCAAGAGUUUUUUUUUUGUUUUAGCUCCUCACACUUGUUUUUUUGGCCCAUUUACAUAAAAAAUUCAAUUAUUUUGGACUUUUACAAAACCGGUCACAUUUUUCGUUUUUACAGAUUUGUUUCGUUUUUUCAGCAAACUGACCAAAAUAUUCUUAUAACCUUUUCUCUCUCCUUUUUUUUCAGCAAACUGACCAAAAUAUUCUUAUAACCUUUUCUCUCUCCUCCACUGUCUCCGACGACGACGCCUCUCUUGCCCUCUCCCGCCCUUCUCGUCCUCUCCCUCUCCCUCCUCCUCUGUCGCCUCCGACGACAAUACAUCUUCGCCGGCCCCGACGCUGGCGCCGACACCGUGGAGGUCACUGCGGCGCUCCAUCCUCGGAGCGGGGGGUCCUCAGCGGCAUCGUCGCCGCCGCUGUGGACGUUGGCAGAGAGGGGUGACCAAAAAAAUUAUAAAAGAAGCAAGAAAAAAAAUAAAGAUGAAAAAUUAUAGUGAAAAAAUGAUGAAGAUGAAAUUGUAUCGUUAACUGAAAAAAAAUUAUAAGUUGCAUUACUUAAAAUAUAAACUGCAGCUUUAAGAUGAAAAUUACACUUUUUAAACAAAAAUUACACUCUUUGGAAGAUAUUUACACUGUUUCUCCUCUUAUUGCACUCUUUCAGAUGUAAACUGUAUCCAUUAAUAUGAAAGUUACACACUUUAAACGAAAGUUGCACUGUUUUUCCUCUUGUUGCACUAUUUCUUCUCUUGUUAUACUAUUUUUUAUCUUAAACUACAACUCUUUAAGAGAUAUUUAUACUGUUUCUCCUCUUAUUGCACUCUUUCAGAUGUAAACUGUAUCCAUUAAAAUGAAAGUUACACUCUUUAAACGAAAGUUGCUCUGUUUUUCCUCUUGUUGCACUAUUUCUCCUCUUGUUAUACUAUUUUUUAUCUUAAACUGCAACUCUUUAAGAGAUAUUUAUACUGUUUGUCCUCUUGUUGCACUGUUUCUCCUCUUAUUGUACUAUUUCUCCUCUUAUUACACUAUUUUUAUCUUAAACUGCACCCUUUAAGAGGAGAAACAGCGUAACAAGAGGAAAAGUAGUGCAACAAGAGGAAUAACAGUGCAACAAGAGGACAAACAGUGCAACAAGAGGAGAAACAGUAUAAAUAUCUCUUAAAUGGGUGCAGUUUAAAAUAAAAAAUAGUGUAGCAAGAAAAAAAAUUAUGCAACAAGAGGAGAAAUAGUGCAACUUUUAUUUAAAUAGUGUAAUUUUCAUCUUAGUGGUGCAGUUUACAUCUGAAAGAGUGCAAUAAGAGGAGAAACAGUGUAAAUAUCUCCCAAAGAGUGUAAUUUUUGUUUAAAGAGUGUAAUUUUCAUCUUAAAGCUGCAGUUUACAUCUUAAGUAGUACAACUUAUAAUUUUUUUGCAGUUAACGAUACAACUUCAUCUUCAUCCUUCUUUUUCUAUAAUUUUUUAUCUUUAUUUUUUUUUCUUGCUUCUUUUAUAAUUUUUUUUGAUCACCCCUCUCCACGGCGCCGGCAACGAUGCCGCUAAGGACCCCCCGCUCCGAGGCUGCAGCACCACAGUGACCUCCACGGUGUCGGCGCCGGCGAAGAUGCAUCGUCGUCGGAAGUGGCAGAGGAAGAGGGAGAGAAGGGCGGAGAGAAGGGCGGAGAAGGGCAAGAGAGGCGUUGUCGUCGGAGACAGUGGAGGAGAGUCGAAGAGGAAAAAAAAACAAAGAGUCGCGGAGCGGCCUCGGUAGGGUCGGAGGCGAGGAAGGUGCCGGGGUGUGCAGGCAAGGGUAAGGAUGCGUCGGCAUAUUGUCGGCGCCGGCGAAGAUAUGUCAUCGUCGAAGGUGGCAGAGGAGGAAGGAGAGGGAGAGGACGAGAAGGGCGGGGACGGCGAGAGAGGCGUCGUCGUCAAAAACGGUGGAGGAGAGUCGAGAAAGAAAAAAAAANGAAAAGAAAAAAAAAAAAAAAAAGUCGCGGUGUGGCCUCGGCAGGGUCGGAGGCGAGGAAAGUGCAGGGGUGUGCGGGCGAGGGUAAGGAUGCGCCGGACAAGCCGCCUCCUCCGCCUCCGCCGCUCUCUGGGAAGAGAAAAAAAAAAAAAGAACGAGAGAAAAAAAAAAAGAGGGGAGAGAAAAAGGUAUAAGGGUAUUUUGGUCAAUUUGCUGAAAAAGCGGACCGAAUCUGCAAAAACGAAAAAGGUGGCCCGGUUUUGCAAAAGCCCAAAAUAAGUGGAUUUUUUAUGCAAAUUGGCCUUAUUUUUUUCACAAUUAAUCUCACAAAAUUUAUAUUUAUUGUAAAAUUAAUUUUAUUUCUACCAUAUAAGCACGUGACCGCAAAUCAAGAUGUAGAUGAAGUUGAACAUAGUGAACCAUUCAACAUGUUUGGACACGAUGAAUAAUUUACCGUAUUUUAUUAUUUUCUUACCACAGUAUUAAGUAAUAUUAAAAUUAGAGUUUAAGAAGGACACUGUGUUCAAGAACGGUGAAUAAUUCAUCGUGUUUAAUUUUGCACACAUAGCGCUCGCGUGGCACUUGCAUGAUGGGGAUAAAAUCAAUCUUGUAAAUAUGAAUUUUGUUGGAUUAUUUAUGAAAAGAAUGUCUGAGGAACUAAAGACAAAAAAAGCUCUUUUAUCAACGUAAAUUGCCAGUCCGAUCAUGAUCUUAUAUUCAAAUCGAUUUUGUUUAAUUCAUAAAAUUGAACCGACUUAAAAUUUGUUUUGAUUUAUUAAGAUUAGCUAUUUAAUCACUGAACCUAAAACCAGUCGAUUUUUUUAUUUUAUAUUUCAAAUAAUUAAAUAAAAAUAUGUAUAAAUUUUUUAUAAUCUACGCUUCGAAUAUAUUUUUAAUUAUAUAUAAUAUAAUAAUAUUUCAAAAUAAUAUAAAAUGUUAUAUUUAGUAUGUAUUUAAUAUUAUAUUGUAGUGUUCUGGAGGUUUGGAUAGGAUUGACUACAGUAUUAAUGAUUAGUCGCCACAUCUGGUGCGUGUCGGACUGAGUCAGAGUCGUUUCUGCACAAAAUGGAUGCAGAAAUCGACUUGGCGCACUCAGAGGAGCAAAACUAGAGUUUUGCCAGUUUCGGGCGCCCAGAACUAGGUUUGGGUCGCCCAGAAGUUGAGUGUUGAAUUGAACAGAUAUUGGAAGCCAAUUCGGAUCCUAGUUUCGGGCGCCCAGAAGUCGGUCCGAAAUUUUACUUUGGGAAUAUCGUUUGUACUGACACGUGGCUGGUGGUAGGUGAGAUCCGUCGGACCAAGAUAUGGCCGCAGUACACCGCGGGCGGAGGAACCGAGGGGGAGCAAUUGUGUAAUCUGGAGGUUUCGGACGCCCAGAAAGGGGUUUUGGGCGCCCGAAAGUGACCGUUUCUGCUGGGAUCUCAAGCUAGUAUCUUUUGUUCCUGGGGUUUAUUUGACCCCUCUAACUCCUUAUAAAUAGAUGGAACUCGACCCCUGUGAGCUCUUUUCUUCCUUUCUUCACAGAGAAGCCCUAUUUUGCAUCUAAGUCCCUCAAAUUACUCCAAAUUCUACAAUUUCCACCUUGAGCAGUGCUGUUUUAGCAUAAUUUCUGCAGCGACCUUUGGCGUUUUGGCUCGUGUGCGACGUAGGAAGGUCGGAUUGCUGUGAAACAUGGUUUGGUGGUUAGCUGACUUCCUAAAGAUUUCGUGGAACCCUGUUUGACAAAAAUUGAUUGAGGUUUGUAUAGUCAAUUUCGUGUUUUACUGAGCUGCUAGUGUUUUGGUCCUGAAAGUGAGUUUUCUUUGAUUGUUUUUGGACCAAUUCUUGGAUAGAGCUGGAUUUUCAACCUGAGGAAGCUGCUGCACCUUUUCCUACUGGUUUUGAGAGUGUUCUCCACCAGAAUUGUGGAUUCGGGGUUUGAUAAGUGAGUUUUGACAUUGGAAUUGAAAGUUAAGCUUAAGUGUAAAAUUUUGGGAGUUGUAAUGCAAAUGUUGGUAUUUUGAUAUUCAGAUCUUUGAGGAGAUUUGCUGCUAGUCCAGGGGUGAUUACGACUGAGACUCCCAGUGACUUCGCGACUUCUAGUUGUGCCGUGGAUUAGUGUUAAUGAUAUACCCUAAAGCCAAUCGGUGACAUAGGCUUGUGAACAUAUUAAGUAUUUUUCUUAAUUAAUAAAGGGCAAGUUUUAUUCAUAUUUAUUGUUAGCAGUACAAUACAUUUAUAUGAAUCGUCCAUUGAAUCUUCGUUAAGAAAAUAUAUUCCUAAGAGUUAGGAAUUUGAGAUAUAUAUUUCUUUGUACAGGAUUCUUAAACGCUCCUAGCCAUAGGAAUGUCAUAAGGACGAUGAUAUUUCCGGAUAGGCCGGUGUAUGCUAUACUUCUAAGUUGAGGUGACGAAUCUCAAGUCAUUAGUGUAGGGACACUAAAGUGAACAUGCAGGUGCUUGUUAGCGAACAAGUACACUGAGCGUGACCAUUUAGUUGAACAGUUACAUGGUUCCAUAUUCACCAGUGACUAGUUCUAUGCUACCAUUGUGUGAAGUACUCCUCAGACCUGAGGCAUCAUGGUUGCUUCACAUAUAUAUUGCUACUGUUUAACUGUACUAAUACUUAGACUCUAAUCAUUGGUCUACCUCUGGUACUGAUUGGUUGUAGUAGUUUAUAUGGGGAGGCGUGUGAGUGUGCAAUAAGGAAUUCAACACUCUCAAUAAUGAGAGAGAACGUUCUAUAUAGACUAUCGAACUCGACUCGAAAAAUCCUUGGCCAGGGUACGUGGUGUGCGAAAAGAGUUUCCAGUUGUGUUACCAUAUUGAGUCAGUUUUAGAUAUUCUAGUCAUAUGAUCGAAUAAUAAGAUUUGGCGAGUAACCAUAAUCUUAGUUCGAUCGGGGCGUUGUGUGUUGGAAGGAAUUAACCACACGGUAACGGUUAGCGGAAAGGUUCGUUUUAUCAUCACUAUUUUGGAUUGCCGUGAUAUACUGCUAGGUGUCACUCACGGACAGUGAGAGAAGUAAACAAAUAAUUUAAAUAAAUUGUUUUACAGAUUAGAAGAGUUCUAAUUCAAUAUUGAAGGGUUUGAUAUUGGACCUCACUGUCGAAUAGUAAUGAAUCUAUGCGGUCACACACAAUAGGAAUUGUGUGCAUCCAACAUGACAAGAUGAGUAUAAUACACUAAACAGUUUAGUGGAAAUAAUGAGAAAUUACAAUUUGAAUUUGAAUGUUACGAAAGAUUUAAUCUCUAAUUAGAUUAGAGAAUAAUUAAAUAUUCAUAAAUUAUUAUGAGAUAAUAUUCUAAUUAGAUUAGAUUUAAAUAUGAAUAUUUAAUUAUAAUUUAAUGGAUAAGAUCUAAUUAAAUUAAAGAGGGAUAAUAAUAAAAUAUCUAUAAUAGGAUAAGCGUAAAUUUACUUUUAUUUAUCCUGUAACUAAUUGGAUAUAAUCCAAUUAGUAUUGUAACUAAUUUGAUAUGAUCCAAAUUAGUUAUAACAGAUUAAUUAGUAUUGUAACUAAUUGGAUAUGAUCCAAAUUAGUUAUAACAGAUUGAGUGUGCCCGGCUUGUACGGCUUUAUUAAUUAGUGGAGGCGUACAUAUAGGAGCCGUGGCUUCAUUAGUAUGUGACACUCAAAUUUACUGAAAAGGAUUCACAUUAUUCUCUCUCAACUUUUCGUAAAAUAUUUCACUAAAAGGAACGUAGAUAUCAGAAGACUGCUAGCACCGUCUUUGUAAUCUGCGACUCAUCUGUUCCGUACGGGCACGUGCGCGGCUAAUUGGAAUCUCAGUUUCAACCGUACAGUAGAUCAAGAGACCUUAACUAGUCCGAGGUAAUGUAACCUAAACUUCAAAUUUGCUUAGGUUAGAUUAUUAUUUUACAUUGUAACAUGAGAAUGAUCCGCCGGCACUGGAUUGAUUUGUUUUGUCUUGAUUCAUAUGUGAUAUAGAUUUUUGUUUUUCGAAAAUACAAUUUUAAUUUCCACUGCAAUUUUUGUGCCGGAUAAAUUCUUACAAUUAGCGCUAGAGGUGGGAUAAUAUUGUGCUUACCGUAUUUCACGGAAUUCCUCCUAAGUCUAGUUAUUGUCGACGUAUAUUUCCUGUUUUGAAUAACAUGUUUAAUAGCUUGAUUCAUUGUCGACGUGUAUUUCCUGUUUUGAAUAACAUGUUUAGUAGUUCGAUUCAUUGAUUUGUUGUCUUCUAAAAUCUGAAUUGGAGCUUAGAAUAUUAAUUAAAUAAUAUAUGUUGGACUUGGAUUUGACUUAGGAGAAAACUGACGCUUUUACACUGUCAUAUGUUAAAACUACCAGAUUUAGAUCUAGGAGCCGCAGUUGUUUGUAUCACCGCAGUUUGUGGGCGGUGGAUACACAUGAUAGUGUAGAAUGUACUUACGCUCGUACUGGGAUGCCGAGUUUAUUUUUUACAGUAGUGUUUAGGCUGUUCCGGACUGUCGGGUGCCGUUAGGGUUGACGGUGGACCCAGAUUGCUGUUUUUGCAUCAGAUUGUGCCGAGGGCACGUGAGUUUUGCUGUUAGACCAGUUAGACUCUAUUUACUUGACUAUAGCCUAUGAGAGCCUGAUUGAGCUCGACAGAGACACGCUUGCAUAUUCGGUUGGGUAGCGCCCACGAGUGCCACUCCGGGGUCGGGCUUUGUGCGUUUGCAUUGGUGUCAUUGUGUCCUGGUUGGACUUACUUUCCACGGACGGUUGAGCGUGGAGGUAGCUGUAUAGCUUCGACAGGCGGGACGGGUGUAUUCACAAUCCCUAGUGAGAUUGGAUCAUAACUUACAUUAUUCUACAGAUAGUUAGCAUUGGAUAAUGAUAGUAUAGUGGCAUAUAGCCGUAGAUUAUUUUCAGUUCCUUUACUAUCAUUGAGCAUACCUUCUGUAGACUUAGUGGGUGAGCCGUUGAGGUCGGUAGCGGUACCCACUGAGGACUAUUUCUUUUUGCAGUAGUUCUCACGCCGAAUUGUGGAUCUUUUGCAGAGCCUCUGGUUGCGGCUGCUGCAACUGCUGAUUCUGAUCGCAGAAAGGGUGUUGCGAGUUAGAGCCCUUCCUGACGAGUUGCAAAGUUAGAGGAUGACUAGCUACAGGUAGUUGUAGUUUUUGGUUCUUUACAUACUGAUGCUGAUGUUAUUCCUCGCUGGAGUCAGUAUUUUUGUACCAGAAUUUUAUGUUGUAUUGAACCGAUAUUUUUAUAUAUGUAUUCCUUUUAGCAGCUCUAUACUACUAGUUGUAGUAUUGUAUGUUUACAGGUACAGCUAUCGUUUCGUAUACAGGAGAAAUUUCUAUGUAUACGGCGGGUCUGUUAGCGUGUCCAGAAAAACGAGAAAUACGAGACGUGACAUAUAUAUUGUAUGAAAAAAUAAUAAUUAAGUAUUUAUGAUGUCAUUCAAUUUAUUGGUUGAAGUACUGACCAAACCAGUGACCUGUUAUACCUAUAAUCUGGCAAUAAUUUUGGAUCUUAAUAAAUGAUUCCAAAUCUCAAAUCAUUGGCCCUAAGAAUUAUUAGGCCCUAUCCCUACUUUGUUGUAGUUUGUGAGCAUUAAACCUAAUCUAAACUCAGUAAUUUUUUGUAUCUUCUAUCUCCAAUGAAACAAACACGCCACUAAUGCUUAAAUGCAUGUUUGUGUUUAUUAUAAGAGUGAUUUAGAUUCUAGCUUUUUAUAUGAAAAUACAUGUGAUUAGAUUCAGAGAAUUUUUUGAUGGAUAAAAAGAGAAAAAUUAAAUUAAAAAAGAGAGUUUUGAUGCAUUUUGUCCAGGUACAUUGUACACAAUCAAGCUUCUGUCCUUUUCCUCAUCCACAUCAGAAUAUGAUACCUGGACCUGCUCUAAAGACCAGUUCUUUAGUAGAAAAAGUCCAUUAUAUAACACUUAUAUCAUAUCAUCAAUAACUAGUUAAUUACAUUUUUUUUUAAUAAAAAAUAUAUACAAAUACUUUUUUAAUAAUCAUGAUGAAAAUGGAUGAAUAAAAAGAAUAAUUCGAUUGGUUAGGGACUCUUAUCUGCAAUAUAACUAGUGCAUUCGAGAUCUUUCUUUUUUAGUAAUGGUCUAUCUCUAUCUCUCUUAUUAUUAUUAUUAUUUUCUUUUGGAAUAGUCUGAGGUGUAUAAUAUUUUAGUUUUCAAACUUUAAACUUUAAUUAGUUAUAACUUAUAGGGAAAACUUCAAAAACCCCCCAUGUGGUUUCAAUUUUUUUCACUUUAGUACCUUGUGGUUUAAAAUAUAUCAAGUUAGUACCCUGUGGUUUCUCACUUUAUCACUUUAGUACCCUAUGGUUUAAAGUGUAUCAAGUUAGUAACCUGUGGUUUUGCACUUUAUCACUUUAGUACCCUGUGGUUUUAAUUUGGUAUCAAGUUAGUACCCUGUGGUUUUUUUAAAUCACAGAGUACUAAAGUGAUAAAGGGUGAAACCACAUGGUACUAAAGUGAUAAAGUGCAAAGUUAUAGGGUACUAAUUUGAUACACUUUAAAUCACAGGGUACUAAAGUGAUAAAGUGAGAAACCACAGGGUACUAACUUGGUACACUUUAAAUCACAGGAUACUAAAAUAAAAAAGUGUGAAACCACAAGAGAGGUUUCUGAAGUUUUCCCUAACUUGUAACUCAAUUUUUUGAAAGUAUUGCACUCAAGUCUUCUAAUAUAAUUUAGUUGGAUAAAUAAUAAUGCGGCGGCCAUGUGGUAGUGCCAUAGUUCAUAACUUAAUAAUGAUUAGCACACCACAUAUGUAAUAUAUUAUUAUCAUCAUCAAACCAACUAAAUUAGUUUGUGGCCCUCAACUGUAACAAUCUAAAAUGUUGAAAUAAAAAAGUACAAUAAAUUAAAGUUUGAAGAUUAAAGCAUUACUUAUAUUCUGAGAACCAAAAGUGUAAUUUUGAAGUUCUUUUUUUAGCAAUUAAUGCUACGAGAGUUAAGUUGUACUCUUGCUAGAUGAUAUCUCACUUUCUUAAUAUUUAGAGUAGCUAAUGGGGAUUAUACUUCUAUAGUGAGUUACAUUAUACGAGGGUAAAAAAAAUAGUAUGUGUUUGUUGUACAAAUAAAGUCCGACUACUAUACUAUCUAUAUUAUCAAGCUCUUAAUACUAUUGAUAGUAUCAAGCUGUUGGAUCUACCCCUUGAUCAUUUCCAUCCGUUAGAUUAUAUUAUUCAACCAACCACUCAUUCAACCCUAAAGGACCAUUAUCAUCCUAACUAUAUAUUUUUUCAUCCAACGACUGAAAACUCGAUAGCACCAAUCGCUUAGUACUAUCGAUAGUAUAAUAGCGUAAUAAUUGUCUAUAUAUCCCUCAAAACUUCGAAAAUAUCUCAUUUAUUCUUACUUUUUUUCCUUUUCAAUAUACCCCUCAUAUGUUUCUCCGUUAUUCUAAAAUACCCCCAUAGGCCUACAGUUAUCAACCGUUAAGUUAACUUGGGUUAAACACGAGUUAAAUAUCGACCACAAUUAAAAAAAAUUAAAAUAUCAAUUUUACCCUUAACUUAAGGGCAAAUAAGAAAAAUUGGUGACGUUAGAGAGGUAUGUUUGAAGAGACCAAAAGUCAAAACACUUUUUGUGCCCCUAACUUAAAGGGCAAAUAAGAAAAGUCGAUAAUGGUGGAAGGGUAUAUUUGAAAUGGCAAAAUAGUAAUUUUAUACAGAUAACAGAGUUUAUUAACAGAUUUUAACUUUAGGGGUAUAUUUGAAAUAUGUUGGAACGUAAAAAUAGUAUUUUCAAUAUUAGUCAUCUAAAAAAGAUAAAUCAGAAAGUCAGAAGCUUUUUACGGGUAUAUAAGCAAUUGCCCCUAAAAAAUAUAUAUCUUCAAGUACUAAACUAAUUUAUAAUUGCCAUUCGAAUUCUGGCCACAACAUUAUUCAUGUUCUUAUAAGGAAUUGUAAACAUGAUGCAAAUUUAGUGAUCUCUUAAGCAAAUGUUUUAUUUGACUCGCAACCUCUCCUGUAGCAAUUUCAAAAUAAUUUUAGACAUUUAAUGCUGGAUAGAUGCUGCUGAUUGGGAUGUUGGUUAUUGCUGAAUUAGCUUGGUCUUCAAAGGUUCAUAUGCUUUCACUCUUAGUAAUGUAGAUCAAUUCAUAUUCAUCAACUCACUUGUUGAGAGAGAAAUUGUUGCAAUUCUUACCGUUUGGUUCGGGUAUAAGCAAGAACUAGCUAUUACAGAGACAUGUACAAGUAUGGGGAUAAGAAAAAUAGCGUUUGGAUGAAAAUUAGGUUGUUCCCGGAAUAAGAACAAUUUUAGAUAGUUUUAUAUAGAAAAUGAAGGUGUUGGUGGGGAUAACCGAGAACUACUAUUCUCAGGUAAAAAAUUAGCGUUUGGGUAUAAAAGGGGGGAUAAGGGCCUAUUCCUAUCCCUGUCCCCUAACCAAACGGUGCUAGUAGACUAGUGUUUCAAAUUCUCCCCUCUUGCAAUUUAUCAUAUGGCUUUAUACGGUAGUACUUUUUUUGCUAUAAAUGUUAUUCCGUAUAUAUAUAUUUUUUUUCAGUGAUCCAUAACUAAUUUUAUUAAGAAUUACAUAUAUCUUCUUCCAAAUACCACUCUUAUAUGGAUGUGUUAUGUAAAUCGAAAAUUAAAUGUUGAGGUCCAUAAUUUAGCCAAAGAAAUAUUUAGAAAUUAUUAUAAUUCUGAAACUGUUUGAACAACAAAUAUAGCCUACGGACCUUUUUUCUUAAAAAACAAUAAAAAAGAUAAAAUAAUUGGUCCAUGACAAAGAUGGUGUGCCACAUGCUGUCCACUAAACAACUUAACCUCAACCAAUAAAAAUUAUUCCGUCCACCACGUGUAUCCGUAUGCAUCAUGAAUCGUGCCUAAAUUUAAUUAUUUAAAUAUUUUAAAUUACAAAUUAGUCACAUAGAUAUGGUUUAAGCUACUUAGGGUUUAGGGUAUCAAAUAAUCUCACUAAUUAAUUAUAGAAAAGAAUAAUUUAAUAUGUUUAGGCAUUUUUAAUGUCAUUAACAGUUAAAAGGAGUACAAUUUGAAUUUUAUUAGUUCAUAUAUGUAGUAGAGGUUAUAGGUGCGGUGCAUGAAAUUUACUUCGUACACCUGGUGCAGAUAAGAAUUCCAGUCCUCCGAGCAUCGAUGCUCCUUGUCUCUUCCCUCGGUGGGCUUCUAACCCCAAAACCCUACUUCCACUACUCCUCGCACCGAGCUCCUCGGCCCUGAUCAUGGCGUCGUCGUCCACGAGCGCGGCGGAGGUGGCGUCGGAGGCGUACAUGGGGGGCGCGGCGGUGGCGGAGGCGCGCGCGCUCGUGGCGGAGCUCUGCCGCCUCUUCUACACGCAGGGAUGGGUCACGGGCACGGGGGGCAGCAUCACGCUCAAGGUCCACGACCCCGCCGUGCCCAAGCCCCACCAACUCAUCGUCAUGUCCCCCUCCGGUAAAUCCUAUCGCCUCCUCCUCGAUCCUCUUCCUCUUUGGUGUUAUCUCCAUGGAUCGAUCGAUCGGUCAAUGGUUCGAUCGAUGGGUCGAUCGACUGGGGGGUUUGAUGUGAUCCUUCGGUGUGAUUGGUGAUUUAGGGGUUCAGAAGGAGCGGAUGGUGCCCGAGGACAUGUACUUGCUCUCUGGCGAUGGCGAGGUGCUCUCCCGGCCCGUGCCGAAGCCGUGGCCCCAUAAGCCCCCCAAGUGCACCGAUUGUGCCCCGCUCUUCAUGAAGGUGAUCGAUCGAUCCAUCGAAGCCAUUUGCAUUAUUAGUUACAUUGAUACUAAAUCCCUCUUAUUUUCAAUUACAUAUUUUUCUUAAUGAAGGCCUUGUUUAGUUAAGAUUUCAUUUUUCUGUUGUUGCUCUAAGUAAAAAAUUAGGUCUUUGAAUGCUCGGUGGAUGGCGGAUUGCUUUCAUUUGUACAUCUAUUGGUUUUUUCCGGCGAAAAGGAAAAAUUUAAUAGUAACUUUUUUCGAUUUGUGUGUUUUUCUCAGCAGUAACCAACAAUGCAAGAAUGGAGCAAUCCAUUUCUGGCUCAUAUUUCAAAUCGCUGUUAAGACAAUGGAUCAGCUAUUUGCCUCUUUUAUAUAGCUCUUAUCUUAUAUUUAUAUCCUUUGCAGGCUUAUCAGAUGCGAAAUGCUGGAGCUGUUAUUCAUAGCCACGGCAUGGAAUCUUGUCUUGUUACAAUGCUUCAUCCAGGCGCAAAGGAGUUCCGGGUAAAUCUUUCAAGUUAUAUGUAGGAAUACUUUUGGAACUGUCAUUCAUCUUUUACUUGUUACUGUAUUUCCAUUUCUUGUUAGCUGGAGAUGUUUCAGAAUGACAUCCACUUUGAUCUCUUCUAUUCCAUAAUAACUCUUUUGUUGGUUUAGAUAACUCAUAUGGAGAUGAUUAAAGGAAUACAAGGACAUGGUUAUCAUGACGAGCUGGUAGUUCCGAUAAUCGAGAAUACCCCUUAUGAGUAUGAGCUCACAGAUUCCCUUAGUGAAGCGGUACUAUUUUGUCUUGCGAAUGUGUUUUCUUCUUACUUUUUCAGGACUAUAGAUAAUGUAGAUCAUAUAUGGUUUCCUCUUCAAACUUAAAAUCUAGAUAUGUAUGGACUUCAUUUGACAAAUGAAAUAUUUUAAGUAGCAAAUUGUUUGCUCUUUGGACAUUUGAAGUAUAUUAAAAUAUUUUAGAAAGUUUAUCUGAAGUAUAGUAAAUAUUUUACAAAGUUUUGCCUAAGCAGACAAAUUGUCAAAGCUGUUUAGUUCAUGUAUAUGGAUCUUAAUAUGGAUCUUAAUUAUGUAAACUUCAUGUAUAGGGAUCUUAGUAAACUAGCAAGAAAUUCAAUUGUAUAUGAUAAAAUGGUAGAGAAGGAUUACCAUAUACUUGUAUAGUGAGGCUAUAAUACAUUCUGCUCCGGUGAACAUAUUUUGAUGAUUCAUCACUUUCAACAAUGAUAUAGAUGGUUUUUGUAUGCUAAUCAUGACAGUUGUGAAAAUCAUUUGGAUAGGUUCUUUAUAACUGAACUGAGAUUGUACUUAAACAGAUUGCAGCAUAUCCAAAAGCAACUGCUGUACUUGUGCGAAACCAUGGUAUUUAUGUAUGGGGUGACACAUGGAUCAGUUGCAAGACUCAGGUAUGUUUUUCUUUUUUUUUUCUAAAGAUUUAAAUGUAUGAUUUAAGGUAAUAUCAGUAUGAAUUAUAUUUUAUGCUGACAGUUGUAGUUCCACACACACAGUAAAUGGUGUGUUUCCUUCCAUAAUGAACAUCUGUUUAAUCUUUCUCCUCUAUCAACUACAAACUUUGCUUAUGGGAUACUUUCUUAGUGAGGUUGUAUAUUGAAUAUUUGAUCCAGCGUAAUCCUAUUGAUUCCUCUUGAAUAUCAAAGUUUUUUAGGUUAACUUUUCUAGGUUAUGAAAAUUAUCUGAAGCAUUUGGUGGAGCUGAACAUAGCUUUUGGCUGGAUUUUGUCUUACAAUUCAUAUUUUUUAUGAAGAUGAGGAAAGCUCAGUAGUAAGUAAUGUAAUAAUAGUGUAACAUCAUUUUCUCAAUUUGCAACAAUCGUGGAUUCAGUCUUUCACUUCUGUUUAUAAUUUCUUAACCAUGUUGAAGAAACAAAUUUGCAAUAAAUCCACCAUUUGUUCCUAUUCAACGUACUAAAGAAAUAUACUAUAUGUAACAUCCUUUUGUCACCUGUUCCCAACUUGGUCUUUGCUAUCAUUCCUAUUAUUCUUCUGCUCUUGAUACGCUUUUCCUUAUCGCCGCUUGUCUUUGAAUAUUGUCUUAUUUAUUUUCUCUGAUGUGAUUUUCAGGCUGAGUGCUAUCAUUAUCUUUUUGAUGCUGCCAUCAAGCUCUACCAAUUGGGCAUUGACUGGACGACUCCUAGUCAUGGUCCAAUCAAUGUUGAUAGACCAUUGCAGCACAAAGACCAUUUGAGUACUUCAGUGAGAGCAGCAGUCCAAAAUGGCAAUCUUGCUGCUGAAUCUUCAAAGGUCAGUUCUCGGAGUUCUAAUGCUAGAUUUUACUGGGAAUGAUAUGACUAUUUUGGGGGAUGAGGGGGGUUUCUAUCUAUUCUUUGUGCAUUUAUCUUUUGAGCAAUUUGUGUUUUUUUGUCUUUUCUCUGUAGAAAUAUUUACAUAUAUACCACUGCAAGAUUACUAUAAAUAUAUAUUUCUGCAAAAUAUAAAUUCCAUAUAUGCCAUUAAAAACUCCUCUUUUACAUAUAUACCCUUGUGCUUACAAAAUACCCCUCUUUAAAAUCCUUAUUCAUAUGCAGUCCGCUUUCUCCCCAUGAAUUGGAAUGCCCCACAAAUUAAGAUGACUGGUGUUUCUUUAAGAAACUGAACUUUCGACGGUUAUAAAAAUAAAUGAUAGCUCAGAAUUUAUUGGGGUGCAUGUAAAUCAAUGAUUUUGCAGGAUAUAUGCAUCAGAGCUCCUUUAAUAUUUGUGUUAUUAGAUCUGUUUCUUCUUCAACUUCUCUUAUAGGUUCCAUUAAUUUAUUUCUUACUAUUAGCACUUAGCUAAUCUUCACUUCUAAUAAAAAAAAGCUAAUCAAUUUUAAUGAUCUGCAGAAAUGCAUUGUCCUUGACAUUGAAGGAACAACUACUCCAAUAUCAUUUGCCACCGACAUUCUUUUCCCCUAUGCUCGAGAUAAUGUUCGGGAACAUUUGAUUUCAACAUACGACAGCGAGGAAACUCAAGAUGAUAUUAAGCUAUUGCGCUUCCAAGUAAGAUAUUGAUGCUUUCUACUAUCCAAAUUAUUUGCCUUUUGGGUACUGCCAUGGCAAAUAAAAGUGCUUGUUAUCAAAAGUUCUAAAUGAUGUCAUUGUCCGCAGUGUUUGUUUGCACAAAUUAGAUGAAGAGAGAUUGAUACGAACUUAUAUUCCAUGAUUUGCGUAUAUUGCUAAAGCACAACUAGGCUUCAAUCCUAAAAUCUUAGGCUUAUUUAUAUAGUGUUUGAAUCAGCGCCAACAUGUGCCUCUAAUAAGAUAUAUUUGAGUGGUGGGUGCAUAUAUUCAUAGUUUUUUUUUCGGUUAACAUAUAGUUGCGAUUUUUUGACAGGUUGAGGAUGACCUAAAACAAGGGGUUGUUGGGGCUGUACCCCUUCCACCUAAUGGUGCUGGAAAAGAGGAAGUCAUUGAUUCCUUAGUUGCUAAUAUUCAAGCUAUGAUUAAAGCAGACAGAAAAGUUACAUCUCUUAAACAAUUGCAGGUAGCAUAAUCGGUUCUAGACCUCUCAUUCUGAGGAGAAAUUAUUGUGAGGACCUGGUCCACCGUGAACCAUCACAACACAACACAAGUCUUAAAGUGAAGCUUUAAACCAUUCGACUUGAUCUACAACACCUUAAGGGUCAUUGAAAAUCAUAACAUUUAGAAAUUUAUUUCUUUUGUAAUGAGCAGUAACUGGUUAACGCUGUUAAUUUUUCCACCUACCUGAAGCUUUCUUGCCUAGGUAAGAGCUUUCCAAAAACUAAUGAUCUUUGAUAUUAGAGUCCUUAGAGGUUGUAGAUCACAUAAUGGUAUAUAUUUAGAUGUUAGGCCUCUAUUCUUAAAAAUUAAGGACUGGUUCUUGGCUGACAUGGUCGAGCAGGCCUAGCCUGUAAUUUCUCCAUUAUGAGUCAAAGAAUCUGUGUGUAUCUGGUUGAGUUUUGACUAACCUUCUUUUUGUUUCUUUCUUUUCUUUUUUUUGACACACAGGGCCAUAUUUGGAGAACUGGAUUUGAAAACAAAGAACUGCAAGGAAUUGUUUAUGAGGAUGUUCCUGAGGCUCUUAAGAGAUGGCAUGCCAAUGGCGUAAAGGUUAUAUAUUCAUUCGAUCUACGUAAUUUAAUUCUUUAGCUGAAGAUUCACAGAUUAAAAUAGUUAAGCAGACAUUUAAUUGAUUCUGUCAUUCUGCUUUUCCAUCAAUUAGCCAUAUGCUUCUUGAAUGAGAAUUCACAAGCCAUCCAUUACGGUAAUCCUGGUUCUAAACUUUUUCUUUUCUAAGUCACCUGCAAACACGAUGAAAAAGAACUCUAAAAACUGACCUGUUUGAAUUACAAUUGUGUGCCCUAUUCUUUUCUCACCUUGCUAGCUUUUGUAGUAGGAACUUGUCUACUAUUCUAUUUGUCUUUUUAGAUUUUACAUUCAUCUCGUAGUUUUUCAUGGCAGAAGUCUCUGAUAAAUCUAAAUUCAGGUCUAUUUAUAUUCGAGCGGUAGUAGAGAGGCUCAGAGACUUCUGUUUGGAAACACAGCUUAUGGCGACUUGAGGAAGUACCUUUGUGGAUAUUUCGACACCACAACUGGGUAGGUUAUCUGUUUCCUUUUCUUGCUUUUGCAAUGUCUUAUGCUAUUUCUUUUCACUAAAAGAUAUAUUUCACUUUUUUUUCCUUUCCAAUAUAGGAACAAAAGAGAAGCACGGAGUUAUUUCGAAAUCUCACAGUCACUAGGGGUGGACAAGCCAUCUCAAAUAUUAUUUGUAACAGAUGUCUAUCAGGAAGCUGUGGCUGCAAAGGCUGCAGGUAAAUGCAUUAAGUUUUUAUUAUAUUGAUUAACUUUGUUUACCUCUAAAUAUUUGCUGCUACUUGCUAGAGAAAAAUGAUAUUUUGCUGUUUUUUGUACUUGAUGUUUUUUAUUUAUUUAUAUACUUUCUUGAAUGAGAUUUUUCCACUUAGAUUGCACAUUCUUUAUAGUGAUUUUUUAAUUUGGGCACUCUGGAAUCCCUAGCGUCCUCAUAUCCCCACUAUUUUGCAAAAUCUAAAUUUAACAAUAUUUGGAAUCACAACUUAGAACGCCCAUCCGAAUGGUCAAUUUCCCUAUCAACCCCGCUAUUUUCCGGGAAAUGUUGUAUACAAUUACGUGAACAUGACUGCUCAAAAUUCUCUGUUCAGUUGUCUUGAUAUGUAAAUCAUAUUUAACAUAUUCACCCUUUCAUGCAUGCAUCCAAUUGAUGGACCAUCAGAUUAUAUUAACACUUAAAAGUCAAACAAGUCCUAUCAAUUUCAGGUUUGUGGUGUUUACAUAUACAUAAUAAGUAUUUGCACCUACUUUGAGAUGAGAAGUUAAACAUGGUGCUUCCUGUUAGAUAGGAUAAUGGCCCAUCAUGUCAAAUAUCUGUUGUUAGAACUUGAUAUGUCUUGGUUGGAUCAAAUGAAUUUACCUAUCGGUACAUUCUGUUGUUUUAGCUUCGGAUAUUGCAUUUCCAUUGAGAAAUAAAAAGUUUCGAAUUCCAUGAAUAAAAUGUUAGAAAUUUUUAAGGAAUGAAGAUGCUUUUAUUUUUCAUUUCUCUUACAGCUGUUAUUUCUUCUUCUUCUUUUUCUUUUCUUCACUCAUUUCUUUUAGCUUUCCUGCAAUAAUGAAUUUAUAUCUUUUUUUUUUCAAGAUAUAUAAUUUUACUAUUAUUGUUUGGUUCUGUUAUCCAUUCAUCAUCUUACAAGUUAUCGUCCUUGUUGAAAUUUUCAGGUAUUGAUGUCAUAAUCUCGAUCCGCCCUGGAAAUGCACCUCUUCCCAAAGAUCAUGGUUUCGCGACCAUAACAUCUUUUGCGGAAAUCUGAGUUAGUGCAACCUGUACAAUUGCUCGGGCCCCAGGUCAAAUAAGUGCAAAUAAAAUUUGUUUAUCAUCACAAUAUGCAGUCAUGAGUCACGAAUCUACGAAAUAGUAAAUAUAUAUCUUAUGUACUAGUAAAAUGCAUCAAAACACUUUGGCUAUAUGGUAUUGUGUGCAUAUAUAUGUGGUGUUACACAUCUUGAAUAGUUAAACUCAGCUUUUGAGUACCCUGCAAUGGUUAUUUAAUGAGCGAAUUGCGCAUAUAAUUCUAGCCUUUUUGUCUUUUCCCCGCUUUUUCGUUUUCGAGUAAUGCUUGGUCUUUAAAGCCUAGGAUUUGUCUCCCCAGAUUGGCAUAAAACUCUGCUUUUUGUUCUCAUGUACUUAGAGAUAUUUCACAUUGCAAAAGAUUUGGCCUUUCAAAGGUUUAAGCUCACAUUGACCUUUUUCUCUCUUGUCAACAUAUGGGCGAAAAAUGUAUGGGUAGCUUUAAGUACAAUUUCUGUAACAUUCUCGGAAUUUAUAUAUAUAUAUAUAUAUAUAGAGAGAGAGAGAGAGAGAGAGAGAGAGAGUUGAGCUAGAAAUUUAUCGGUAGCAAACGGGUUCCGUUGUCACCAAUUUAUUUUUGAUGAUAGAACCUCCAAAUCAACGAUCGACACCGUUGAAUAUGAUCUAUACCACUUGAAGUAUCUAGAAAUAAAAUUUUAUUUUUUUCGAUAUUGUUCUCUUGUCUAUUAAAUGAGCGUAAAAAUGAAUGGCUUAAAAUGAAUAUCCUCUAAAAAGUGAUAAUAGAAAUUUUGUAAUCAAGAUCGAGAGUAUAGAUCUUAUUCUAAAUAGUUUAAAGAAUUUUCUAACUAAAAUUCAAUUGAUUUGGAUAGCUUUACACAGUUAAACGAGAAAACGCCUCAUAUCUACCAUUAAAAUUACAAACUUUGAAACCCUUUGAUCAUUAGGUCAAUGAUAUCGAAAUGAUUUGAAAUUUGGUUUCUAAAUACUUCAAGUGGUAUAGAUCAUGUUCAACUGUGCCGAUCGUCGAUUUAAAGGCUCCAUCAUCGAAAACAAAUGGGUGGCAACGGAGCCGGUUUGCUACAGAUAGCAUUCCAGCUCAACUCUCUCUUUCUCUUUCUCUCUCUCUCUCUCUCUCUCUCUCUCUCUCUCUCUAUAUAUAUAUAUAUAUAUAUAUAUAUAUAUAUAUAUAUAUAUAUAUAAUUAGGUUGGAAUACUAUUAAUAGUAAAACGUUCUUUUUGCUAUCAAGUUUUAACCUUUGGAUAAAAAAUUGUAGGGUUAGGAUGAUAUUAGUCGGUUAGAGUUGAGCGGUCCCUCUAGGGUUGAGUGGUCCCCACUGGGUUAUAGUAUUUAAUCCAAUGGUUAGAAAUAAUAAAAAAAGUUGAUCCAAAGGCUAAAAAACCGGUAACAACAAUAAAAUUUUGCUACUAAUAGUAGGCCAGUCCAACUCUCUCUCUCUCUCUCUCUCUCUAUAUAUAUAUAUAUAUAUUAUACGUGUAAUUGACUCUAAAAUUAUAGGGUCAGGAUGAUAUUAGUCGGUUAGAGAUGAGUGGUCCCCCUAGGGUUGAGUGGUCCCUACUGGGUUAUAGUAUUUAAUCCAAUGNCUCUCUCUCUCUCUCUAUAUAUAUAUCUAUAUAUAUAUAUAUAUAUAUAUAUAUAUAUAUAUAUAUAUAUAGAAUUAGGCCACUAUACUAUCUAUAGUACCGGAGCUCCGGUACUAUAGUCUUGUUUUCGAUUUUAGGGUGUUCAAAUUAACGAUUCAUAUCGUUAAAUAUGAUCUAGAGUAUAUGAAAUUCUUAGAAAUAAAAUUUUAGUUUUUUUCGACAUCGUUUACUUAAUAAAUAAAUUAUGUCAAAAUGGACGGUGGAAAUUGAAUAAUCUUUAAAAUUUGACCAUAGGACUUUUAAAUUCAAGAUUAAGAAUGUUAACUUUAAUCUAAAUAGUUUAAAAUAUUUUCUAUCAAAAUUUGAAGAACUCUAGAUUUUUCUACACCGUUAAACUCCAAACUCGUCAUAGUAGCCAUUGAAAAUUGACAAUUUUGAAAUGGUUUGAUCAUAAAGUAAACUAUGUCGAAAAACUAUAAAUUUUAUUUCUAAAACUUUAAAUACCCUAGAUCAGUUUUAACGGUAUGGAUCGUUGAUUUGAACACCCUAAGAUCGAAAACGGGACUAUAGUACAGGAGCUCUGGUACCAGAACCCCGGUACUAUAGAUAGUAUAGGAGACUAGCUCUCUCUCUCUCUCUCUCUAUAUAUAUAUAUAAAAUAUUAUUUAAGAUUCCCGAAUCAAAGUUUUGGAAAAACCUGAGGUUUUGGUGAAGUGGUGAAACUGUUAUAGAUUUGAACUAGUAGGCUCUAAACUAUUGAUGAGGAGAACCAAAAUAUGACAGUCACAUGGGUGAUUCCGAGGAUUUAAGUGUCGUGGUACGGGGUCGUGCCGAAAACUUGCCGGCACGGUACAGUACGGUGCGUGCCGAGCCAUGCCGAUGCGUGCCGAUCAAAAAAAUUCUUAUGUGUCGACACAUAAUAGUAUGAAAUAUUUAUUUUUUUUAGCAACAAAAUAUUCUAACUAUUUAUUAUAUCCUUUUAUCACAUCUUUUGAACUUUAUUGAGGAAAUCACUUACUAAUUUAAAUAAUAGAGGGUUUUGAGCUGUGCCAUCGGCACGGGGUCUGUAUUGUGCCGGUAUCUUGUUGGCAUGGUACGGUACGGUGGAUACGACCCGUGCCGACGGGCACUUAAAACCUUGGGUGAUGCGCUGUUUUCGACUAUUCACAUUUGCUUUUAAGGUUCACUUAUUCUAUCAUAAUUUUCUAAAAAAUUAUAUAUAUUUUAAAAAGAGAUGUGAUUGGUUGGGACGUAGAAAAUGUGGUGUAGAUAAUAUGGUGUAGCUACUUACUCACGGAUGAGAGGCUUUUUUUUUUCGUAGUUCAUGGUAGGGAGUAUUUUGGCACCUUUCUGUUCAGAAUUUAGCGAUUUUUUAGUGAGGCCAAGUUUCUGGCCCAACUUUGCCCACCAAACCAACAAUCUUUCAUAGAAGAUAAACAGUUAUGCAACUGUUGCAAUUAAUACUUUCAUAAUUGCCAGCGAAAAUUCAAGGGAUAUGAGCAAUUUUUGGAAUUAUCUUAUAUUCAUGAGGGCUCAUUAUUAUGUGAUAGUGGGUGAGUUCCUUAGUGGGCGAGUUAUUGUAGGCUAGGUUCAAUAUAUUUUGUGCCUAUAAAUAGAGCGCUAGCUAAGGCCAAGGGAAGACAAGACAACAAGAGAGUAUCAUGUGUAUUGUAAUCUUUUUUUUUCUAAGUAAUUGAAAUCACUUAGUUAUUUUUAGAAAACCUCUAUCUUUUCUUUUUUUUUGCAUACUUAGUCGUAGGACGUAAAGUUUCAGACUAGCAAUAGAGAGCUAGACUUGUCCAUCUUCGAGGAGAAAUGCGGGCGCCGCACGGGCUUUACGAAAAAAAAAAAAAAAACUAUGGCCGUGACACUCGGCUCCCAAUCCAAAUGAUUUGGUGCUAAUUAGGCACUUCAAAUAUAAAAUAUGAGAAAUACGAGCAAUGCUACUAGUAGACCUUUAUCCACAAAUCGUCAUUCCUUUUUGGUCAUGCAUCUCAAUUUUUUUAUUAUAAAUUAUUAGAUGUUUUGUAAAAUUUUAAUAAGAGAGGUAAAAUUUAUAUUCUCUUUUGAGGUGUAAAAGUAGAAUUUUCUAUAAAAUAUACUGUAUUUGUGAAAUCCUAAAACACGCUAUUCCUGUUUUGAUUUUACAAAGUUUUAUCAAAAUUUGUUAAACAAAAUGAUUUUGCUAAGGAAAUUAUUCCGUUGAAUUUUAUGCAAUAUUUCAUCAAAAAAUUAUAAAGUUAAUUUAUCAAAAGUAAUAAAUUACUACUUAAUAAAAUCAAGAAUUUAAAAUUUAGACAUCUUUCUUAAUAUAAUCAUAUUAUAGUUCAAAUAAUAUUGCUAUAUUUUAACCUACAACUAUUUUGCGUGACCGUAUAUACCUGUUAAUAACUGUUAAUUUUUUACACCUUACAGGUAAAUAGAAAUAGAUAAAGAAUAAAUCGUAUAACUAAAGGAACUUAGAAACCGUAUUGUCAAAAUUUCAAGUUUAAGAAACUAUGUGCAAAAUUAAAAAAAAAAAGGAAAAAAAAUUGUACAACAAAAAUUACAGCUACCAAAAAUAUAAAAAGAGAACUUCUCUAUCUCUUUUUACAACAAUCAUUUUAAUUUCAAUAUUUAUGUUAAAUCAAGCAUGCGGAGAGAUUUUACCAGUUAUUUAUUUUUCAUUUCGAUCCAUUUUGAUUGUAAUUUGAAUUCUGAUUUUCAUUUUAAGCCUAGGGCCCCCUGAUUACUAAAUAGCAGGUUUUAAAGGGUUUAUAUGAAAUUCCAAAAGGACAGUUGCUUAUGUACCUUCGAAAAGUUUCAAAAUUUCUUUUGUACCCUCCCUAAAAGGCUAACAUAAAAAAUAUUUGUUUAAUAUUUUAAGUUCUUUCAAAUAUAUCUCUAUAGUUAAAUUUUGUUAGUGAACUAUUUUGAGCAGCCGUUAUCUAUGUAAAAUUACAAUUUUAUUCUUUUAAGUAUACUCUUCUGCUGUCACUAAUUUUUCGUACUUGCUCUCAAGUUAGGAGCAAAAGAAAUAUUUAGACUUUUUUCUCUUUCAAAUGUACCUUUCUAUCAUCACAAAUUUUUUUAUUUGUUAUUAAGUUAGGAAAAAAAGGAUAUUUUAAUUUUUUUAACUCUCGAAAAAAUUUAACUUGGGUUUAAUUCGAAAUGACAUUGUUGGAACAAAUACCGCACAGAAAUCUAAUUGUGAUUUAAAUCUAACUAAAUUUUAUUAUGAAAAUAAAUAAAUCAACUUACAGAUGAUCGCUAAAUCCAAAUAAAUACUUAAUUGAUCCGGAAGCGUGCGAGUUACUGCCCUAAGGCGUAUUUCCGUCCUUACGUGCGGGAUUAAUCGGAAAUAACACCCCAAGAUACGACCGGAAUUCCUCCUCCUGCGAGCACGAUAGUGAAGGAAGGAGAUUGACGAAGACUCUUUCAACACCCAGCGAUAAACAAAAGAAAAUUAACUUAUGAAAAAGGGAUCUCAAAGUAAAACAAAAUUUCAUCUCUUUUACUUCUCUCUACAAUAUUCAUAUAUCAUGAACAGUAUGUAGAGGAAUAAUCCAAUAUAUAAAGAGAAUGGGUUGAACAUUGGAAUCAUCAAAGGAUUCCAAUAGUGGAAACCGUUUCCACUAUUAAUCCAUCUCAUUAAUUAAAAUAAAUAACAAUGAAUACUAAUAAAUGAGAAUAAAAGAAUUAAUAAAUAACAAUUAAAAUAAUAAUAAUAGUAAUUAAGAAAUUUAAGUAGUAAUAGUAAUGAUUAAGGGAUUUUGAAUUUUCCUCCAACAAUCCCCCACAAAAUUCAAAAUUUCGAAAUAGGAAUUAAACUCGAAAACAAAACUAAUAAAUAAAUAAAUCACCGGGUGUUUAUACUAUGCAAUAGGUAAGGUGCCUUUAAGGACUUAACCUUACGUAGUGUAAAUAGUUUCCAUCAGAAGGAAUCGGAGUGAACCAGGUCUUGAACUACGUUCCUUUGUCCCUGACUUCAACUAUCACACACACAGUAUAGAAUUCUCCGUCGCGGGUCUGUACGUUAAUGGCCAUGUACAGUACCUUGAUUUUUCAUAAGAGUUUCUAUAUAUAGCCCAUUCACAUAGCCGCGUCCACAUACGGAUAUUUUUAUAUAGGUGGUUUCCUCCAGGAAUGUGUGUAGAGUCACAUCUCGCGAAAAUUAUCGCAUUGGAUCCCAUUAAGAGCUCUCAGCUCAACCUAAUCCACUACACAUAGUACUACUCACCAUAGGGAUGGAAUUGGAGUGAAAACUCCUCUAUAUAAACUGUAGAAAGUGCUCUUUGGCCAACCUAGCAGCUUGUUUUUACCACAUUGAACCUCCUUCAAGGGAUCUCCUAUCGCAAAGGUUGGGUUCCCACUGCAGGAAGGCCUUUUAUGGGCAAAAUUCCACCCCCCUCGAUGACAGCAGGACCAUAGUCCUCUUGAGGCCUUUCAUCAAAUAAUCUGCAAAAUUUCUGAUCAGAUCUGACAAAACUAAAAUAAAUAAUAUCAUACAAAGUUAACCAUCUAAUAAAUUUCUGUCUCAACAUAAUAUGUCUGACAGUUAGUCUUAAAAAUUUAUCAAUUUUAUUUACAAGCUAAACAUUGGGAUAAACAAAAUGAAAUCAUGAGGGCAAUUAUAAUAUCAAAAUUUAUCAAACUGAUAGAAGAGCUCCCCCACAAUUUUCAAGAUAUACUAAUAUUUAAAAUCAUGAGAUUUAAUCAUGUUGAAUAGAGUUUGAUUCAACAGCAAAUAGAUGUCCCAGACAAUUUAAAUGUUUGAUUUCAAUCAAAUAAUCUUGAAUAGAUAUAUGCAGUCAAUACUCUUUAUGCAACAAACAGAUAAUAGAUAAUAUGUAAAUAUUGAACAAAAUAGAUUAUAAAAUUGAAAUUGUGCUUGCUGGUUAGGGCCUGCUAUUAUAAAGUAGUUGAGCUAACCAUACAAGAAUUCAAAUCCCACUUGAAACAAUCCCUUUUUUUUUUAAGUAAAAUAAAUAAAUUUUACUGUAGCAAGCUUGUUAAACAUUUUUAGUAAAUGCACUGUAUUUUUUUUUUUAUAUAAAUAAUCUGUACAAUGUCUCUGUUGAAAGUAAAAUAAUGCUACAGUUUUUUUUUUUAUUUUUUUUAAUCAAAACAGUAAAAUAUACAUCUGUAUAUAUAUAUAUAUAUAUAUAUAUAUAUAUAUAUAGUUUCUGUGGAUGUCAUUGUUCAUCCUGUUUCCAUUUUUGUGUGAUUUCUGCAUUUUUUGCAUAACGUCAAUAUAUGAUCUUCGUACUACCUGGUUUAAUGUUCAUACACCUGGUUUCUAGGUGAAAGUAUGCUAAUCUUAUAGAGAUAAAUAGGCUAGAAACUUAUAAUCAGUGCUAUAUGUCAACUUAUUCUUUGGGGCUACUUCUAGUUAUUUUUGUUAAAAUUUACUAUUGAUGUUUUACUUAGUAAUCUUCUGUACACCAAUCUUGAUAGUUGUUGAUUGUCUGCUAUGUUCUCUUCAAAGGCAAAAGUAGAUACAGAAAACUUUAUGGUGUUGUCUGUCUUACCUCGCCCCUCUGAGUUUGGUACAUAUGUCAAACUUGCACUUUAUAGUAAUGACCGUUGGCCUGUGUUGACAGUUUUAGUAUUUUCUGUUCUUGACCUCUCUUUCAAAAUUGAAUUGCUUCAUGAUAAAGAAUUCUUAAUUAUUUUACAGCUUUUUCCCUUUUCUUAUAUUUUGCAGAGGAAUUUUCAUGUAGCUAGUAUAUAUGCUGGAAAGGAUAGUGUACCGCUUAAAGGAGCUUCAGUUAUUUCGGAGCUAAAAUAUCUUUUGAAUUUGUUGACUCUUUGUUGGCACUUUUCUAAAAAGCCCUUCCCAUUAUUCUUGGAGGCUACCGGCUACUCUGUAGAAGAUGUCCUACUUCAGGAACCUAAAGCAGGAGUGAGUGGUCCCUGCUACAGCUAUUGGAGUUUGAAAUAUUUUGUGUUGAAAACACCAUGCCAUGAAUCUUCUUUUUUAAAACAAAUAUGUGACUUGUACCAGGCAUCAUAUUGAUAGCGUUUCCUUGAAAUCUCUGCAGAUUCUAAAGCCAGCUUUUACAAUUCUAACUGACAAAAGCACAAAAUGUAUUCUGCUAUUAAUUAGGGGAACUCAUAGUAUCAGAGAUACCUUGACAGCUGCAACUGGAGCAGUAGUACCAUUCCACCAUACUGUUGUAAAUGAAGGUGGCAUUAGUGAUGUAGUUUUAGGAUAUGCGCACUAUGGGAUGGUUGCCGCUGCUCGGUGGACUGCAAAACUUGCGACUCCUUGUCUGAUGAAGGCAUUACAUGAAUAUCCAGAUUACAGAAUACAGGUAAGCCAUAUCUCACAUUUUAGUCUGACCUGUAAUAAUGUUAUAGAUAUGAACAUAGGAAUCAUCAUUUCUUAGUUACAUGCUAUUCUGUGUUGUACUGUAUACCCCUGUUAUUCUUUGCCGUUAACCUUGGAUCUAUGCGGAUUGCACUGUGAUUUUAUUUAUUACUUGUUUAGUUUCUUGGCCCUCGGCCUAGGUUUUAGAAUAUUUUCUUUACUUUGAGAAGCCAGGCAUCUGGGAUAAGAAUAGUGUGCAGCUUUUGCUGUUAGCAAAAUCUUUAAUGACCUUUUAGGCCCUAAAACAGAAGCACUAAUUUGAAGGGUCAACUUCUGCUGCAGCAAGACGCUGCUGCAAGGAAUUAAUGAAAAAGUUUUAAGUUCUUUGGGCAUCUCUACUCAAAUAGCACUUUGUNUGAUUUUAACCUAUUGAACCGAAUAACAUUAAGAACAAUUUGGAACCGGUAAAGAUAAUAAAUAUUUUAAACAGAAUAAUAAUUUAACUGUUAGAGCUAAGAAAUAUUUUAAAUAUAAUUUUAAACAUAUAAAUUAAAAAGAUUAGAAUUAUUGGUGAGAAAAAAAAUAGUUAGAAAUUUGAAUUCGAUUCUGACUAAUAAUCACAAAACUUAUUUCCGAACUCGACGGAUUUCAAAAAUCUAUAUCCAAAUUCAAAACUGACAAAUUUUUCGAAACCCAAAAUCAAAUCUAAACCAAAAUACUAGAAUUCAUACAGUCAUUUCUGUUUACCAUAUUUCAAAGUAUUUAUAUGAAACUUAAAUUUUUAAAAUAUAAAUUUGAAUAUAAUAUUAAAUUUUAAAUUUAAAAGUGAAAUUUAAAUUAGAGAAAUUUUAUAUUACUAUUUAAAGUUUAAAUUCAAUGAUCAUAUUGUCAAAUCAUUUGAAAUUUUCCUUAUAUGAAAUGUCAAAUUAUGAAAGGAAAGAUAGAGAGAGCAAAAGGAAACAAAGAAAAAAUAAAAAUUUUGAAAAUAUAGUAGAUGUAAAAUGACUAAAUUGCCCAUGUAUUAAAAGACAAAAAUAUUCUUUUUUGAGGUACCUGGUAACCGGUACCUCUCCCAAAGUGACCUGCUAUUGCAGGUCACAAUUUAAAAAAAAUUAAAUCUGAGUCGUUGAAUACGCGUGAAUGAACGGUAACAAAAAAAAAAAAGUAUAGAAGUAUUACUCAAAAAAAUAUCGGUGUAUAAAAAAUUUCAGAAGUUUUUAGAGGUAUAUAAAUAAUUAUCCUAAUUUUUGAAUAACGUAGAAAUAUACACAGUGUAUAAUUAAAACAAAAAAUAUGGGUAUAUAAAAAAUUUCAGAAGUUUUGAGUGGUAUAUAAAUAAUUAUCCUAAUUUUUGAAUAUUAUCCUAAUUUUUGAAUAAUGUAGAAAUAUACACAGCGUAUAUUUGAAAUAAAAAAAAUGGGUAUAUAAAGAAUUUCAGAAGUUUUUUAUAUACCCAUAUUUUUUGUUUUAAUUAGCCACUCCCUCCACCCUAACCCUAACCCUAAUCCUAACCCUAAUCCUCCUCUUCGUCUUCUUCUUCUUCCUCCCAACCCCUACUCCAAGCCCCUCUCCCUCCUCGCCGACCGGUGCUCCUCCAUGUCCGAGCUCAAGCAAGUCCACGCCCAGAUGGUCGUCUCCGGCCGCGUCCACGACGCCUACGCCGCGAGCCGCCUCCUCUCCUUCGCCGCGCUCUCCCCCUCCGGCGACCUCCCCUACGCCGCCCUCCUCUUCCGCCAAACCCUAGCCCCCAACUCCUUCAUGCUCAACACACUCCUCCGCGCCCUCGCCGCAGGCCCCGAUCCCUCCGCCGCGCUCCUCCUCUACGCGCGCGCCCGCCGCGUCGGCUCCCUGCUCCCCGGUAAGCACACCUUCCCCUUCCUCCUCAAGGCCUGUGCUAACGCUUGCUGUUCGAAAUCAGUCGUCGCGCAAAUCCAUACCCACGUUUUCAAACAUGGGUUGGAUUUAGAUUUGUAUGUGGUUAACGGAUUGGUCCGGUGUUAUGCUUCCUGCGGGCUUCUCGGCAGUGCCCACCGACUGUUCGAUGAAACUCCUGAAAGAAAUUUGAUUCUUUGGACCACGAUUAUUAGCGGGUACGCUCAGAAUUCGCAGUCCGACGAGGCCCUGUGGCUUUUUGAUCAGAUGGUACAGUUUGGCAUCGAACCGUGUGACGCGACUCUGUCGUCGGUCCUUUCCGCUUGCACUCGAUCGGGCGGGUUGGAAUUGGGGAAACAGAUACAUGUAUUUAUAAGAGAGAAGGGGAUUGAAGUGGGAGUGAUCCUUGGAACUGCGUUAGUGGAUAUGUAUGCGAAAAACGGAGCCAUUUUUGAUGCGCUGAAAGUGUUCGAGGAAAUGCCGGAGAGAAACACUGCGACAUGGAACGCGGUAAUUUGUGGCUUGGCUCAUCACGGCCAUGCGACUGAAGCUAUUGAGCUGUUUUGGGAGAUGAAGAGGUUGAAGUUCCAGCCAAAUGAUGUAACUUUUGUGGGCGUGCUAUCGGCUUGUUGCAAUGGCGGUUUGCUCGAAUUGGGUCGAAGGGUUUUUGGUUCGAUGGAGGAGGAUUAUGGUGUGGAGCCGAAAAUUCAGCAUUUUGGAUGCAUGGUCGAUCUUCUCGGAAGAAGCGGGAGAUUAGAAGAGGCAGAGGAGUUGAUAAACGGAAUGAGAUGGGGAGCCGAUGUCGUGGUUUGGGGUGCUUUGCUUAAUGCUUGUAAGAAUUAUGGGAAUAUAGCGAUUGCGGAGAGGGUGGUGAAGGAGAUUCUUAAGGUGGAGCCUGAUAAUCAUGGGGUUUAUGUUGUGUUGUCUAAUAUGUAUGCGGAGGUGGGGAGGUGGGAAGAUGUUGUGAGGUCGAGGAAAGUGCUGAGGGAUGGGCAAUUGAAGAAAGUUGCAGGUUGGAGCUCUGUGGAUGGUGAUAGUUAACUUGACUCUCUAGUUCAUAUGCUUCAAUAGGAUGAGUGAGUGAAACACUGCAUCCAACUAUAUGCUUCAAUAGGAUGUGUGAGAGAAUGCCACAUCAAGAUAUGGGAUGGGCUGUUGCAACAUAUUCAUUGCCUCGAUUGAGGAUUACGGAACGACAAGAGGAUAAAGAAAGGGAAAGAAAAGAGAACUAAUUGUGUUCCUUCUAUCAUUCAAAAUACGGUUGGAUUAGAGUUCAUAAUUUGAAAGCUAAGAAUUUAAGUACCGUGACAUAGGAUACUGUUGAGAACUUGCCGACACGAGAUUGUGCUGAGCACUUGCCGACACGGUACGGCACAAUGCUUGCCGUGCCGUGCCAUUCCUAUGUGUGCCAUUGACAAAUAAAGCUUUGUGCCGUCACGUUUUAGCAUGAAAUAUUUAUUUUCUUUGGCACUAGCAUCUUCUAAUUGUUUUUAGUAUAUCUUUAUCAAAUUUUUUCACUUUAUUGAUGUAGUUGCUUGCUAGUUUGGAGAAAAAAGAAUUUCGAGUCGUGCUAUUGGGAUAGUAAUCGCAUUGUGCUGAUAUUUUGUCAGCACCGUAGGCAAGGCCGACAGUGCCAGACUCGUUCUGAUGAGCAAACAUUCAUGAAUUUUGUAUGAAAUUGUUGCUUUCGAGAAUUACGCCUGCAAUCAUAUGACUCUUUGAUGUCAGAUAAUUUUGCUGUGAACACUUUGAGAACUAGUCCGGCAAGUUUCUUUCAGAUUAUUAGCGAAUUCGACCUUUCCGAGUAUCUGCAAAUCACAGGGUUCUGCAAGCAAAUUUCUGGUAGAUUAGGGCUUGGUUUGAAGAAAGUUUUGUGUAGAUGAAAGUGGAGUACAGUGGCAAUUGCGUUUGUCCGAACUCAAAAUUUUCUAUCACUUGUUUGAUUUAAUGAAGGCAAUAGUAUUGAAUGUCAGAUUCUGUGACAUCUGUUAUUUGUUUUAAUGAAACUUUGAUUAAUGUAUUUAUUUAUUACUCUUGGGUGAAUGCGUACAGAGUAUAAGAAGAUGACUGUCCUCUAGACAUGGAACUCAUUUGCAGAAGAAAAAGAGGGUCAUUUGAAAUUUGCAAUUAUGUUGUAUUUCUUUUUUUUUUUUAGAGGCAGGUAGUAUGUUAUCCAUUUCGUUUAUUUCAUUUAGAAAUAAACUUAGUUAAAAAUGUGAAUCAAUUAGAAUUCGAACUUGAGACUUUGGGUACUAACCAUCAAGCUAUUUGCCACUUGCGCUAGAGACGGUCGGUGCAAUUAUGUUGUAUUUCAUCAAAACAAACAACAAAACUGUAAGUACAUCAGAUCAAACAUGCCCUCCGCGAAAUGCAGGAUAUAAAGCUCACUUUGAUUGUUUAGAAAUCGUAGAUUCCACUUUAUUUUCAUAACUUUACGAUGUCAUUUAUCUAGCAUUCAGUUCCGAAAUAAAUAUAGGGUGAAUUUAAGGCAACGCAAAUGUGAUCUUAAAAUUAUGAAAUUCAAUUUUUACAAUGUUCAAAUAGGCUACAGCGUAUUUAAUGAUGCCAAACGUGAAACGUCUAUACGUAAGCGAAGCAGAAGGAGACGGCCGCAAGAAUUCUGGCUUUACUCCACUUCUCCAAAUAAAAGCACCAUGUUAUGAGUAACUAGGGAUGUCAAUAGGUUGGAUUCAAAAACCUAAAUUCAAACCGACUAUCAAAUCUGAAAUCCGAAUUCGCAUAUGACAGAUUUUAAAAAUUCAUAUCAAACCCAAACCCGACAAAAAAUCCAAAAAUCGAACCCAGAAAACCCAAACCUGGAAUAAUUUUCUUUACCAUAUUUCAAAUUCAAAUAUAACAUCAAACAUUUAUAUAUAUAUAUGCUAUAUAAUAUAAAAUCAAUUCGGUUCAGGUUCGAGUCGGAUACUGAUAAAAUUCAUACCGGAAUUCAAAUCCGUCAGAUUUUCAUUUUUUAUAUCCGUAUUUGAAACUAAAUCUGUUUAGCAUCAGAUAAAUCUGCUCCGCUCAGGUUCGGGUUCAUAUAAAAUUUCAGGUAUCUGUACCCAUCGACAUCCCUAUGAGUAGUAACACGCAAAUUUUCAAAGCAACGUAACGUGGACAAGAAAAGAACACCAAAUAAACAAAAAGAGGAGACUGUACAACUGUAAUUAUCAGCCCUCUAAACCUGAAUUUUCUAUUAUCAUUUCUGCUGCCCACAAAUGCUAGCAGAGAAGGCCAUAUGAAGGCAUGUCUUCUAUUCGCAUCACGUCGUCGAGCAGUAGUUCCCUCUCCAGCUGCGCACGGGUCGAUCGCAGCACGUCCUAAAAGUAUUGAAAAAAGAAAACAAAACAUCUCAUGCUCUUCGAACCGAAGAAUCGAGCAUAUAUGGCAAAGAUAAAGCUGACGAAGGUUACAAAGAGGACUAUACAUUGAAUUCCAUGUAAGAAGCAUUCUUCUCCAGCCAUUGCUUGUCCAUAACGACGAACGCGACGCAAUAGAGCAAGUCGAAUGCCCAUUCAUCUUCUGUUAAAACAUUAAUAGGUGAAAUUAACAAAAAAGAAAAGAAAAGAAAAGAAAAAUCCUUCUAAUGUCAAGGCAACAACUUAGAUUUGAGGUGCAGUUACUAUCUAACCAGAAAGCAUCUGGACAAAAACGGCUCUGACAAAGGUUCUCGGUUUUGCUGCAAACAUAUCAUUCCUAGAUCAGUAUAAGAACUUAAUAGAAAUAAUGAACUUCGUAGCUGCGCAUUACAUUAAAAGUGUAUGCUGAUUUGAAUCUAUAAAACAGUUGAUUUUGACCGAAGCACAACAAGGUAUGCUGAAUAGGUUUCACCGGAAUUGAGUUACAGAAAAAAUUUAAAAAAAAUAUGCAAGGAAUUGCAGUGAGUAUACAAGUUAAUGCCAGUACAAAAUGAACCAAGUAAGUCACUAUCAUUGUUAAUCAGAGAAGAUCCUGAGGAACCAUUAUCGCCGUCUAGUGUUGGUUUUUUCUACUAAACAGAUUGGAUCAAAGAGAGAAAGCAGUUACUACUAUUGUUUUCAAAUCAUUUUAAAGAAAUAGAGACAGGACUAUGAUAAUAUUUAGCGUAAAUAUUUAGUUAUAGUUGGCUAAAGGAUUCAUAGGCGCAGACAUAAAAAAAAUUGAUUUUAAUGAUGACACUGGCAGGUAGACCUAUAAUUCUUAGUGCAGACCAUUUUAAAGUGAUUAUCAGUCAGUUAUUACCCAAAAUGCAAUUUAAAUGAUUCAAGAAAUCUUUCGAGAUCGUUUGCAGUCCAAUGAUGAACUAAAAAUGAGUUGAAUCGGAUGAUAUGAACAUGUUGGAAUAUGCAACACUUACUAGAUUGGAGAUCUAGCAUUUGCAUAAUCAUGAAUGUGAUAUUAACUCCCGCAACAGCAAAUGGGUACUCCCAUGUAGCUCGCUGCCCACCUUGUUUCUUCAACAGCCUUUGAAAUGAUGUCUGCAAAUGGAGCAGUAAAUUCUAAUUUAGAAAGUGCAAUACUCAAAAAGAGAAGGGAAAAGAAAAGAAAAGAAAAUCAAUCUAUGAAACAUUAACGAGGACAAAAUUGUUGUUCCGCAAAAAAUAUCAAUUACAACAUUAUUCCUCAAAUGGCCAAAGAAAGCAAUCACAGAAAAGAGCAGGGGGAACCAAUAAUAUCUCUUACUGAAAAUGUCUUUGCGAAGAAGAGUAGGUUCUCUAGUGAAAUGAAUCCAGCACCCCUGUUCGAAAAUGCAAAAGACCCCUCACAAUAUCAAAAGAUCCAAGAGGAAAUUACCAUUUUCCUGCCCCAAUUAUUAAAAUAAAUUAGGUUCAUUACCUAAAGUCAGUCGAUGGGUCCCUCCCCUGCCAUCCCAUCUCCUUCCAUUGAUCGGAUACCAAACCGUGGAGCUCUUGAUCCGGGUAUGUGGCAUGCCAAAGAGCUCUCAGAGCUCCCUAUCGACAAUAGUAUAAUAGUACACAUAAGAACCUUAUACAACAGAUUCGGUGUAAACUAGGUAUUAAUAUGAGAAAUUUAGGAUGCUACUACAUAAACAGUAACUAAAUUUAUAUUUCUCUUAGUUAGUGCGAAAAAGGUUCUCUCCCGAAGGCUUAGUAAGGGUCAUAGAUGUCAUUUUCAUGCUUCGGUGGCAUUUGAUGCUGAUGUGCUCCUCCAAAUGCAACACAUAAUUUUUAUAAAAGCUAAGAUUAAUUAAAAAUUAAAUUAAUUAGGGGUAGCCUGGCCUGUAUUGAUUUAACUGAGAGAGAGAGCUCAAGAAAUAUAGCACUAAGGGCCUGAUGCUCUAUUUCCAUCAAUGAUUUUACAUACAAUGAACUACAAAUGUACUUUAAAAUAUACAAAUAUAUCUAUCAAGAAGAAAUAACCUGAUGAUCUUGCCUAGAAGCAUCAAAGUAGACCCUCAUACGGUGCUUCAACCUUUGUAGCCUUUCCUCCUGUGAAUCAUCAACAAUUGGGAAAUGACAUAAGGAUUUGCUAAAUAAUAAGCCAAGGCAUUUAUAGAAAAUGAGCCUAGUUAGUAGUUGAACACGAUAAUGAAGAGCCAUAUAAGCAAGGAAAGUGUCAUUUCAAAAUUUAAAAUUUGAAAUUAAUAGCCAUUGGAGCUUAGGGGAUGUUUGGUUCACUGGAAACAUAAAAUAGUUUUCUGGCUGUUUGGUCCCCGGGAAAAAUAGUUUCUCUGGAAAUUAUUUUGUCGGAUUUCAUGGAAAGCUUAUUUACAUUUUCCAGAUUUUUUAUCCGGAAAACGAAGACUUUUAAAAUUGAAGUUUUCCAUGGAAAUUUUUUUUCCCAGGAAAACGGUUUUGCAGCAUUUCCAAGGAACCAAACACCCCUUAUGAGCUCUCUAGAAAAUGCAAGAAAGUUGUUUAGUUUUCAUUUUGUUAGUAUUCCAAACAUUCUUUUAAGAAAAAGAUUAGACUUUUCCAAAUUAGAAAAAUAGUGGAGGCCAUCUGAUAUCAACAAAAGCCCUAUACUAAUUUUUUGGGUGAAAAGAAAUCACAAAGACCUAAUGAAAAACUCCAUAUUUCAUAGGUAGCAUUUAAAAAAAAAAAAAAACGAAAGAAAAUGGAAGAUAGCAAAUAUAAUUACUGAGGAGUUCUUAAUACCAAACUCUGUAUAAUAAAUCCACCAAGCAACCCACUACCUGUAAUGGUGUAAGAUUCAUGCAAAUGCGCUCAUAGGUUCCUUUUCGCUUGAUACAUACACAAGAAAGACUUUUCCCUAUCCAUCUUGGUGACCCACAUGUUGCUUCAUCUGAAAGAUAAACGAUACAAAUUUCCUUUCAACCAAUGGGAAUUCCCACCGAUGAGUUGUCAAUUAUCGGUAAACUAAAGCAUCAAAAGAAGAUAACCAUCCACAGUUGAAGUACAAAAUAUCAUAUAAAUACGACAAAGAGGCUCUUGUAAGUAAAACUGUUCAUUAAUUCACCUAAAUUGACGCAAAAAAAGGUAAAAAAAACUGAGUCAGCUCACAACUCCACAUCGUCGAUGGCCUAUUGUACCAACAAGGACUCGAAUAUUAUUUUGGUUGGGACUUCGCAACAACCACCCAAAGGAAUUACCGCAAAAUGAUGAAAAAUAUAUAAACAGUUUAAGAGACAGUGAUGAGCCAACCAACUAAUCUUUCCUGUAAUGCGCUAUUUCCAUUUCGGUUCUCCGACAUGAUUAAGAGGACCAAAAUAACCAACUUGGCACUUCAAAUUAGUUUCAGAUGCUUCUACAACAAGAGAGUACCAUCAAAUGGGCUAUAACCCUGCAGAGUAUUGAUGAACAAUAGUAACCAGGGCAAGAAUAUAAAUUUCAUCACUAAACUUGUUCUAGUUACGAAGAUCAUAAUCUAAAAAAAUAUAUAAAAAAAAAUAUAUAAAAAGUAGUUUGUAGUUCACCCAACUCAUGUCACACUCUCAAUGUUGAAGGUAUAGUAAUUAAAUACACACAUAUACGAACUACUCCCCUUGAUUUCCCACCAAACUUUUGUAAUUAAUUACCAGAUCUUUUAGAAAAGAUCACACAGCUCCAAUGCGUGAAUCCCAAAUCUCCCACCAAACAUAAAGGAUUCGAUGAGGCAUUAUUCCAAGGUUAAAUUCUUUUUACAACCUAACAAAAAAAAAAAAAAAAAAAUCCCAGAAUAGGAGUAAAAUCUAAAGAAACCAAAUAGGAAAGCAUACAAACUAUCCAACUUCGUCCUCUUCCACUAGAAAUCACAUCCAGAUUCAUUACUGUAGCACACAUUGCGAGGUUCAAACGGCGCAAGGAACAAAAAUAAAGCGAAAAAAGAGAAUUUUCACGUCAAAACAAAUCCGAAAAAAUCGCGGAAAAAUGGAGCUUAGCGCAGAGAGCAGCGAAUUAGAGAAGAGAAAGGGGAUUAAAAGAGAAGCAAAUAGGAUUUGCCUGAGUUCGUAGAGGCGGCGGCGGCGGCGGCGGCGCCACCAUGAGCGCACCUCGAGAUCGAAGCGGAGGGGAGCGUGGGCAUCGCCAUGCACCCUCCUCCCUGGUGCCUCUCCGCCGCCUCCAUCUCUCUCCCUCUCUUCGCCGCCCUCGUUAAUGGUGGUAGUAGGGUUUGUACUAUAAUAGUGCGAGAGCGUCAGAGGAAGGAGAAGAAGAAGAAGAAGAAGAAGAAGAGGAGAGAGUAAACUGUAAUGAAAGAGACGCAGAAGCGAACGCAGCGCGAGAUUCGUCGUUUAGUUUCGCGGCUCAGAGACGAAGAGGGGAUACUUUUUACCCUUUUUGACCAUUUUGUCCCCCCCGACCCCAACAUUUUACAGUUUGAUCUUAUCCACCCUAAAUUGCAUAGUCAUUUAUUUAUUGGCUAAAAUAUAGGUGAUGAGAUAUUAAUAUUAUGCUAUCCAAAGUACAGAGAAUUUGAUACUUUCGGUUUUUUAAUUCUUAAAUUAAGAAUUGUAUGGUUGAGAUGAUUACGAUUCUCUCUACGACUUAGUUUGGUAAUGAGGCCUAUCAAACGCUAUUAGAUAAAAUAGAGUUGAGGAAAAAACAUAUAGGGAUAUGCUUCUGCGUUCUCCGAUGGGACCGUAGAAAAUAUAUUGUAACCGAUUUAUCGCGAUAUGCGGAACGCAAUAUUACGUACAAAAACAAACAGGGUAAUUUUUCAACAUACUUUCUCAACGCACGUAACGCAAUCUCCUACCGCACGUAACGCAAUCUCCCCGCAAUCCCAAACGAAGCCUAAGAUUGAGUAGUAUCUCUGGAGUUGAAUGGUCCCCACAGAAUAAUAGUAUUAAUCUAAAGGUUAGAAAUAAUCAAAGGGGUUGAUCGAAGGGUCAAAAAAUCGAAAAUAUGGAAUUCUCUAUGUUUUCGAUAACAUAAUAGCUCUACUCAAAAUAUAGAAGACUCUUCUAUAAAUAUCUACUUUUUAUUUUUUUUCUUUUUGGCUAUCAAAAAUUUAUAUUUUGCUCUGCUAAAUUUUAGAAAUAUUUUUAGGAAAAAUACAACAUUAAUGGAGAGGGUAAAAUGAUCAAAUUACCUUUACUUCUUUUAUAAAAAAAAUAAUUUUUAAUAUAUUUUUUGUUAUUUUGAAGAGUAUUUUCGAUAUAAAUUAUAAGAAAUGAACGAAAUAGUGAUGAACUCUGAUGGGAGUUGGGCCUAAAUGUAAUAACUUGAAAUGUUGGUGAGCGAAAUAUAUGUUUUUAAAAGUUACGGAGGAAAAGUGAAAAAAAGGAAUAUUUAUAAGAAAAUUUUCUAUAAUUUAGCCUAAUUUAUUGGCUAAAAAUACAAAAAACUUUGUAUAAAUACUCUAUUUUUUAUUUUUUCUCUCUAAUUUUCAAAAGUCUAUGUUUCACCCUGCCAAAUUUCAAGUUGAUGAAUUUAGCUCCUCUCCGUCGGAAUUCCGUCGCUUUUCUGUUCAUUUCUUAUAUUUUUUACAAAAAAAAAUCCGUAAAAAUAAUAAAAAUAUGCUAAAAUAAUUUUUUCUUAUAAACAAGUAUGAAUAAUUUGAUCAUUUCAUCUUCACCAUUUAUAGCAAAAUGUAGGUUUUUGAGAGUUAGAGAAGAAAGUGAAAAAAUAGGUAUUUACAGAUUUUUUUUAUUUUAUUUUAACCUAAUUUAUAUUUACGGUCUGUUUGGUUCACGGUUUGUAAUUUUUAGCAAGCCUCUAUAUUUUAUAUUUUUUCUAUUGAAAAUAUUCAAAUUAUUAUUAUUCAACUCAAGUUGAAUAGCUGUAAAAACAUUAAUGUAAAUAGUGGAAGAACCAUUAUAGAGUUCUAGAUCGUGGGACUAGAGAUGUCAACAGGUCGGAUUCGGGGCGGAUUUUUAAAAACCCGAACCCGAACCCGAACUCGACUCCAAACCUGAGACCCAAACCCGAACCCGAACCCGAACCCUACCAAAAAUCUAUAUCCAUCGGGUACAUCCGUUUCAUUCGGAUUCGGGUUCGGAUAAAAUUUCGGAUAUCCAUACCCAUUGACAUCUCUACGUGGGACUACUAGAUUGUACUAUGAAUUUUACAAGCUUGAGGAGAAUCAUUAGUAAACCAUUAAUAAGAAUAUGCAAGUUCUUAAUAACCUUCUAAUCCAAUUGGCUUGAUAAAUUAAUAACAAACUUCUUAUAAUGAAUAUAAAAUAUACAACAUUCCAGAAAUAUUACAAACUUUGAACCAAAUGGUAUUUUAGUGUUAGUUUUAGAAAAAUGUUACCUAUACACUUUUCUGGAGUGUAAAUUUUAUAUCCUAUUCAUUCUAUAGAUAUUUCUUUUUUAUAGCUACAUUUAAGGAUGUCAACAGGUCGGAUUCGGAUAGAUUUUCAAAAAUCCGAACCCGAACCCGACUCCAAAUCAAAAUCCGAACCCGGACCCGAACCCAAAAAUCCGAAUCCGGAACAAUUAUUUCUCUUUUCAAUACUUCAAAAUAUAUUACAUUAAAUCUAAAUUUUUAAAAUACAAAUUCAAAUAUAACAUUAAAUUUUUAUAUAUACAUAUUAUUUAUAAUGUAAAAUAAAUUCAGGUUGGGGUCAGUUUUGGAUCAGGUAUAGUCAAAAUCUAUAUCCGAAUUCUUAUUCGUCGGAUUUUUAUUUUCGAUAUCCAUAACCGUAAUGAUAUCCGUUUAGUAUUAGAUAAAUUCGCUCCGUUCGGGUUUGGAUAAAACAAAAUAGGCUCAUGGAAUCUUAUGUUGGCACAUGUCAUGAGCUCCCAUGAGCCCUAUAACUAUGUAUGUAUGCUCUUCCUUACUCUUUACACGCACACAGAAAAACGCAAGAAGUGGGAGAGUGAAGAAAGUUGCUUGGACCUGGUGUAUCAGUUGAAGUAGGGUUUCAAAUUUUACUUUUUCUGCUUGAGACACUUUCAGCUUUUAUUAUAAUUUUCUGGACAAACUUCAAAUACCACCCCCCUUGUUUCGCACUUUUUCACUUUAGUACACUGGUUUAAAGUGUAUCAAUUUAGUACCAUGUGGUUUCGCACUUUCUCACUUUAGUACCCUGUGGUUUAAAGUGCAUCAAUUUAGUACCCUGUGAUUUCAUUUUUUUCCUUUCGUCGGCUCCUCUGUUAAUAUUUCGUUAAAUUAUAUAAAAAAAACUUAAGAUAUCCUACCUAGAUUUAUCGAAUAUUUACUUUUGUACCCUUUAGUUUUAACAUUGUUUGUACCCUUUAGUUUUAACAUUGUCACUGAUUUUUUUCCUUCCGUUAAUAUUUCGUUAAAUUAUACACAAAAAACUUUAGAUACCCUACCUAUGUUUAUCGAAUAUUCACUUUAGUACCUCUUAAUUUUAACUUUGUUACUGAUUUAACGAAAAAAAUUAGUGAACUGGAUAAUAAAAAGAGGAAAAUGAAACCACAUGGUACUUGAUACACUUUAAACCGCAGGGUACUAAAGCGAGAAAGUGUGAAACUACAAGAGCUAACUUGAUAUACUUUAAACCACAGGGUGCUACAGUGAGAAAGUGUGAAACUACGUAAGGGUAUUUGAAGUUUACCCUUAUUUUUUGGGUAGUACUUAAGUUAAUAGUCUAUCAAAUUAAUAACUCUAUUAGUUAUUAAUUACUAAAAAAUUAUUAGAAUUAUUACAAAAGUUAAGAGGGCCUCAAACCAAAAAACUAUUAUAGUGAUAAUUGUUUGAUGAUGAUUUCCAUGAGAUAUUUCAACUUCAGUCUUCAGUUAAGUAUAGUUUUUGUUAUCUUUUAAUAAUUAAUCGAUGAAUGUUUACCAAAUUUAUUAAUCUACUGCUAAAUGCGGGCACUUAGAUCACACUCAUUUGGUUAAAAUAUUCACAUUCUUUUGAAUGUUCUUUAAAAAGAAAAGACUGAAUUACAAAAAACCUACCAAGUCAAAACUCACAUUUUCACUUUCUCCUUCGGUCAUUAAAAAACCUACAAUUUAUUCUUUUAAAGAAUAAAAAAUAUUCAAGAAGAUACGGUAUUAACUAUAUUGACAAAAUGACAAAAAUGCCCUCUCCAUCUUCAUCUUCUCCAUAAGCCUUUUUAAUCCGCAGCCCCUCCACCUUCGUCCUUUGUGCCUCCCUCGAGCCCAACUCUGACUCCGGUAACUCCACCUGCUCUCUUUGCUCCUCUUGCACUCUCUCCGCCGAAGAGGUCGGGGUUGGCACGGAUAGAGGGUGAGCGAGGGUGAGACGGCAGAGGAGGUGAGGGAAUGAGUGUGGGCGUGGACGGAGAGAUACGAGGGCGAGGCAGCACGGCCGACGUCGUCGUCACUGGGGAGGGAGGCGGCGCUGCUGAGAGGGGUAUUUCGGGUAUAAAAUAUGUAUAAUAAUAGGAUAUAGGCGGAAUACUAGCGGCGGAAUUCGAAGUGAAUAUUUUUUAUUUUUUAAAAAGAUAAAGUAUAAAAUUUUAAAUUACAGAAGAGGAAAAAGUGAAAAAGUAGGUUUUAUUAAAGGAGUUUUCUAUAAUUUAGCCAAAAAGAAAAUUCAAAAAUGGUUUGACAUCUAAGUUAUAGUAGGUCAGAUUUCAGCCAAUCGAGUUAGCUUGGAUUGGAUUAGUUACGAUGAGUUUGGCAUGGUGGGAUCGAGUUAGGUAGAUUUAGAAUUUGAUAACAAAAUGUUGGCCCACAUGUGGAUAGAAAUGAAUAAUGGUAGAUAAUAAAGGACUAGUUAGGUCAUGUCGUAAGAUGCAGCUUUAUUGAUAAAAUAGUGUUUGAGUAGUGUUAGAAGUUAUUGAAGCUUUUGAGGUUCAGAAUCUUUUUCUUUUUUUUUUUUUUUGAGAGAUAGAUAGCACGCUAUCCGCUUCGUUUAUUUCAUUUAGAAAUGAACUUAGCUGAAAAAUGUAAAUCAACUAGUAUCCGAGACCCAAGUUCGAAUCCUAGUUUUUGAGAGAAAGGUAGCAAGCAGGUAGCGUGCUACUUUUCUCUCAAAAAUUAGGAUUCGAACUUGGGUCUCGAAUACCAACCACCAAAUCCUUUGCCACCUGCUCUAGGGACGGUCGGUGAGGUUCAGAAUCUUAUUUUGGAUUCUCGUAUUAUAUUAUAGUAAAAGCUUCGGAUUUUUUGUUUACAUAAUAUUGAAUACUUAGCUUAAGAUAAUUGAAGCUGUAGCUGAAAUAACUAAAAUGCACAAAAUGUGCAACUUCGGGAAUUAAAGCCUUCUUAUACGAAAAACACAAAAUCAAUAUCACAAUAUAGAAAGUAAGGGCAAUUGCUUAUAUAUUUCUGAAAAAUUUUCGACUUUCUGAUUUAUCCUUCUUAGAAGGUUAAUAUUAAAAAUACUUUUUUUAUGUUUCAAUCUAUUUCUAAUAUACCUCUAGAGUUAAAUUUUGUUAAUAAACUAUUAGCAAUAACUAUUAUCUCUAUGAAAUUACUAUUUUACCCUUUCAGAUAUACCCUUGUACCAUCACCAAUUUUUCUUAUUUAUUUUUAACUUAGGGACACAAAAAGUAUUUUAAUUUUUGAUCUUUUAAAAUAUACCCUUCUACCAUCACCAAUAUUUCUUAUUUGCCCUUAAGUUAAAGGCAAAGAAGGAUUUUGAUUUUUUUAAAAAUUUUGGUAGAUAUUUAACUUACGUUUAACCCAUGUUAACUUAACGGGUGAUAAUUACAGGAAUAUUUUUAGAAGGAUGGAAGAGCAUAUGAGGGGUAUAUUGAAAAAGAAAAAAAAGGUACGAGUAAAUGAGAUAUUUUUAAAAUUUUAAGGAAUAUAUAGGCAAUUAUCCCUAGCAAAAGAGAGUACAAAACUAUCUCUACAUCUUUAUCUAUCUUUAUAGAGAAAACUUCAAAAAUCCCCCCUGUGCUUUCGUAGUUUCUCACUUUGCUCCCCUGUGGUUUAAAAUGUAUCAAUUUGUCUCCCUGUGGUUUCGUUUUUAUCUUUUCGGUAGCUUCUUCGUUAAUAUUUCAUUAAAUUAUAUACAAAAAACUUCAGAUACCAAUCUAGAUUUAUCAAAUAUUCACUUUAGUACCCUUUAAUUUUAACUUUAUCACCUAUUUAAGAAAAAAUAAUAAUAAAAUUGAUAAGAAAAAGAGGGAAAAAAAACAAUAGGGGGACAAAUUGAUACAUUUUAAACCACAGGGGAGGCAAAGUGAGAAACUACGAAACCACGGGGGAGGGUUUUGAAGUUUUUCCAUCUUUAUAUAAGUAACAACAAGUCAUGCAAAUCACAUUAAUUCCGUCGACUCAUCAAAAACUUUUUUUUUUAAAAAAAAAUGUUUACAUGCUUUUAUCUAACUCUUUUUUAUCAAAUAUCGUUGUGUGGCCUCAAUCAGUGCCUAGGGUUGCAACAGCUUUUGGUUGGGGGGUCAUAGCUCAUAAGCCACUGGAAGUAGGGAUGUCAAUGAGUAUGAAUACCCGAAAUUUUAUUCGAAUUCGAACUCGAAUGAAAUGGAUAUAUCCGAUAGAUAUGAAUAUGAAUUUGAAUAUGGAUAUAAAAAAUAAAAACCCGACGGAUAUGGAUUCGAAUAUGAAUUUUGAUUGUACCCGACCCGAACCCGAACCCAACCCGAACCCGACCCAAACCCGAAUUUAUUUUGUAUUAUAUAUAAUAUAUAUAUAUAAAAAUUUGAUGUUAUAUUUGAAUUUGUAUUUUAAAAAUUUAAAUUUAAUAUAAUAUAUUUUGAAAUAUUAAAAAAAAAUAAUUAUUUCGGGUUCAAAUUUUCAGGUUCGGGUUCGGGUUCGGGUUCGGGUUCGGGUUCAGAGUCAGGUUCAGGUUCGGAUUUUUAAAAAUCGGCUCCAAAUCCGACCCGUUGACAUAUCUAACUGGAAGGUGAUAGGUUUGGUUCGCUUUUGGGACAAGCAGUAUAGAAACGGGCUGUACCUGAAAGCACCUUCUCUAUCAAAUUAAAGCCCUGCAUCUGUACAUUAAUUUACAAAAGAUACAAUAUUUCAUUAAAAAAAAGAAAGCACCUUCUCUAUCAAAUUAAAGCCCUAAAUCUAAACAUAAAUUUACAAAAGAUACAAGAUUUCAUUAAAAAAAAAGAGAGGAACUUCACAUAUACAAACCUCAAAAUGUACUUACAUGCUUACACCUCCUACGAAUGGAUAUUCACUGAGGCCCUGUUUGGAUGCAUGAAUAUCUUUUUUUUCGAACUUGGGAUCUCGGGUACCAACCACCAAGCCCUUUGCCAUUUACGCCAGGGACGAUCGGUGAUGCAUUUAUAUUUUGUUGGGUAUACCUGCAUGAUUUAUUUAAAAGUUUGUACAUUUAGUAAAUGAAAUUCAAGCUAUUUUUUCUUGAUAAAAUAAAUCAUCUCGCAUAUGAGAUAUGUUAUUACAUCGAAUCACGGAUAUCAAAACAUUUCAAGAAGCAAAAUCAAACUCUUUUCUUUUACAGUCACACUAGAAAAUUCUUGUAUUGAAGAAGUUAUCAUUGGAUAACGUAUUUUGACUUCCAAACAGGGUCUAAGGUUUUGUUUGGUUGCCGGAACAAGUUAUAUGAUAACAAGUUAUUCGGUAUGCAAAUUUUCUUAUAUAAUUAGAAGGAAGGUGUUUGAUUUUUGCUCCUUAAAAAGCCUUGGCUUCCAUGAUGUAGUAGGAUAGCAUGUUUUGCUUACAGGAUGAUUUAUCUUAUUCGGAAAAAAAAUAAAUUGAAAGUCACAUAUAUUACUUCGUUCUAGACAUUUGACCACUCAUCUAUCAUCCAAUCACAAUAAAAAGUUCUCAUAUCGAAUACGAAAUCAUCAUAUAUCUUAUUCCGAAAUCCAAACAGGGUCUAAAUCUUUACUGUUUACUCAUAUGUUCCUCACAAACUAACAGUUCUAUAUAUUGACUAAGGUUAAGCAACAAUUUACUUGAAAAGAAUUGAAUGUAUAACAACUUUAUUAAGAUAAACAAUUAAUGAUGAUGAAUUGUUUGCUAACAUGUAAGAGACUAUGAAAAAAAUGUUGGUUAUCCCCAUCAUCCUAUUAAUUAAACAUUAAGGCUAGGUUUGGAUGCAUAAAUAAAUAUUUUGUUCAACACAUUUCUUUAUUUAUUCAAAAAAACUUGUACUAUACUCUUAUAUGUGCCUAGAUCGGCAUAUUAUAUUUGCUAUUCAAUUUAUUUUCACACAGUAAGAUAUACCACAUCAUAGCUGAAAUAUGUUGCUAUCCUAUUGAUCAUAAAUAUCAAAACCUUCUACGGAGCAAAAAUUCAAACUCCUAGCUUUUAAUCACAAAAGUCCGUCCUCAUACCAGCUAAGCUAUUAUUAAAUAACAUAUUCAGACGUCCAAACAAAACAGAUAUUACAGAAAUUGGCUAAAGGCGACUCUUUGCAAAUAUAGACAUUUUCUGAGGAUAUGGACGCAAUUUUUGAUGUUAUAAAGGAAUGCUACUAUGCAUGUGUAUUUCGGGGUAUGCAUUGCAAAACAUCCCUAAUGUGAAACUAAUCUUAAAGCAUUGGAAUGCUUUUUAUGUAGGCAAUGUUAAUAAGAUUGUCUAGGCUUAAACACAAUGUGUCUCAGAAAGCAUCUCUUCACAUGUGGGGUCUAAUAUUAUACUGGAAUAAUAAAAUUCAAUGCAUUUGCUCAGUUUAGCUAAUAGGACACAGGAAUUUUCUUUCCAAAUACAUUGAAUAAGCCAAUUAUGUUUCCAACUACAAACAAUGGAUCAGUCAAACUAGAGUGACAUGCAUGGAGUACUAUAUCCAGCUGUUAAAGUUAGUUUUUCUGUGCACAGUAUUUAAAGCAGAAGAACAGAGAGAGAAAAUAAUGGCCCAUGUUGGCUAAAGCUCACACAGAACAACUGCUCUACUAUUCAGUGUUUUGUAUUGUUUAUGUUGUUCUCACACUAGCAUGUUGUGUCCUAGAUUUUGUCACCAUUUAAUAGGCUAAUAACACUGUAUGAUGAGAGCUACUGAAUCUAAUAGCCUCUUUUUUUGCCUCAACUUUUCCAUGUGAGAAACAUGGUAGCCAAAAGGAAAGGCAAGCAUGUUUUGGCCCUUUCAGACCCUUCAUAUGUGGUUCUCCUUUAAGGGGCAUAAAAAUUGUGCAGUUUAACUGCAUAAGGAAAGAAAAAAAACAAAAGAAAAACAGUAAGUUACACAAAAAGGAGCCCCAUGUAAGAGAAAUGGACCUCUCAAAUCCUGAUAGAAGGAACCUUCAGCAGUUUUUUUCGCCUUUUUCAAAAAGAAAACAACAUGGGUAAACCCAAAACUCCAAAUUUAAAGCACAUGGUCGCGGGCUCAAAGCGACGACCUAUUCGAUCACAAUAAUGGGUAUUCUAGCAAUAGAUUAUGAGGAAGUUUCAACACUUAAAUGGCCCUAUUAAUAUGUUCACAUUAAAUAGCAUCAGUCAUUUUACAGAAAGGUAAAUGAUCAUUCGGGGAAAAAUUUAGCAUUUUUGAUGAACAGGGACUAAAGUGCAAUAUAUAUAUAUAUAGAGAGAGAGAGAGAGAGUAGGUCUUGUGUGCUAUUAGGAGCACGGAGGCCUCCGUGCUCCUAAACCGUUUUCGAUGAUGGAGUUUUCGAAUCGAUGAUCGGCUCCGUUAGACUUGAUCUAGCAUAUUUAAAGUAUCUAGAAAAUAAAUUUUGCGGUUUUUUUAUAUUAUUUACCUUGUGAUCGAAAAUGUUUAAAAUCAACAAUUUUUAAUGGUUGAUGUAUACGGUUUGCAAGUUUAACGGUGUAGAAGUAUUCAAAUCAGAUGAAAUUUUGAUAGAAAGUUCUUUAUACUAUUUACAGCAAGAUCAAUGUCUCUGAUCGAAAAUUUUAGUGCUAUAUCACCACUUUUUGUGAGAUUUUUAUUUUCAGCCGUUGAUUUUGAACCCUUUCGAUCGUUAGAUAAAUGAUAUCGAAAAAUCGUAAAAUUUAUUUUCUAGAUACUUCAAAUACGCUAGAUCAAGUCUAAUGGAGCCGAUAAUCGAUUCGGAAGCUUCAUCACUGAAAACGGCUUAGGAGCAUGAAGGCCUCCGUGCUCCUAAUAGCACACAAGACCUACUAUAUAUAUAUAUAUAGAAUUAGGCUACUAUACUAUCUAUAGUACCGGAGCUCCGGUACUAUAGUCUUGUUUUCGAUCUUAGGGUGUUCAAAUUAACGAUCCACAUCGUUAAAUAUGAUCUAGGGUAUAUGAAGUUCUUAGGAAUAAAAUUUUAGUUUUUUUCGACAUCGUUUACUUAGUAAAUAAAUUAUGUCAAAAUGGACGGUGGAAAUUGAAUAAUCUUUAAAAUUUGAGCAUAGGACUUUUAAAUUCAAGAUCAAGAAUGUUAACUUUAAUCUAGAUAGUUUAAAGUAUUUUCUAUCAAAAAUUGAAGAAAUUUAGAUUCUUCUACACCGUUAAACUCCAAACUCGCCAUAGUAGCCAUUGAAAAUUGACAAUUUUGAAAUAGUUU